GCUGGAUAUUACAGUUCUGGAACACCACGGCUGCAUUGCCAAAGAUGAAGUCAAUGGUGCCUGUGAUGUCACAAUCACGAUAGAAUUGUCGGUUUGAGUGAGCAUAGAGUGUGUCUUGGAAUGCAUCAAAUGAGCAUCUGUAGUACACAGAUUGGUCUGAACCAGAUCGGAAUGCCACUGCUUGGUGCUUUGCCGCUCCAGCAGUGUUAAUGAACCCCAUAUCUUUCGCAAUAAACCCUUUUCCUGCAACAGCUGGUAGAGCAAAAUACACUCCUUGUAAGCAUUCAGGACAUUUCAGAAGCUGAGUUUCAAUGUAUGUUUGAAUAAUAAAGUUCUCAACAGCCUCAAUUCACAUAUUUCUCACUGUGAAAGAAAGAAAUUCCAACACAUAGUCCUAUGUUAAUUGACAUGACCAGUUAUUUUGAGGGUCUUCCUAAAUUCUAAAAUAACAAAGAAACCAACUGGGGAAUUGUUGCCUAUGAUGACUAUAGUGCAAGCCAACAAGAAUACACUACAUACAGAAUCUAAAACAGUGAAACUUGGUUUAUGACUUUCCCCACCAAUAUGACUGCCUAUUCUUACCAGCCAUAGUACGAGUCAACUGCCAUACAAUUUCAGCAGACAUGUACAUGUUUAUCACUAUCAUUUGGAAAACGUCAGAAGAAAAAACCACAUGGUUAUGCAGGCCAAACUUGCAUUUCUGGGUCAAGCUUAUAUGCUAACUUGCAUCAGUCAUAUUAUAAAUGGAUCAAAAGGGGCCACCACAUGAACAUCAAAGUAAUAUAUAAUCCACUCAAACUAGACAAGCACAUGGUAGGGGCAUCAACCGUCCACACAUCUCAGUAUCUCUCACCCAGAUAUCCAAUCCAUUUUUUAGUAUUCUAACCAACUUUGAUUUGUUCGUAAGAAGAACAACAAGACCAACAACUCAAGAUGCAGAUGGAGAAUUGUUUUAGGUGAAAGUAGCACAUCAGUUUAACAUGGUGACGCCUAAACCAUGUGCCUAGUUCCCAAUUUGACACCACCAAUAUCAAAAAACACGGAAAGGCAACUCUGGUUUAGCUAUGGUUUCCUAAUUGACCCCAACCACACUGGGAACUCCUUCAGUUCUAAAGCAGUAAAGAUGAAUGCUUUUCUUCUGUUAGCCAGUAAAGAUGAAUAUUUUGAAAGCUUUGGAAGACAGUUAGGCUAGCAAAGUUAUAGUGACACAUUAUGAUCAAAUUAAUCAAACUCAAACUCAAAUUAAAGAAAUGGUAGACUAGACUGGGAAAGAAAUUAAGAUCGAAAUUCAAACAAGGAAAUGAGGAAGAAUUAGUACCAAAAGUGGCAGUGUUGAAAGUCGCAGUCCCAUCUACAAAGUUCAACUUCCCAGAAACAAUGGUCUUGGCCUUGCCAUCUCCAUACAUCAUCACAUUCCAUUUGUUCUUGUCCAUAAUCACAUUUUCCAAAUACGUCCCUUGCUUCACAUAUAUCACAAACCUGGUCAAGUUCUUCUUGGGCACAGCAUUCACAGCCUCUUGAAUGGUCUUAAAAUCCCCGGUACCAUCCUGCGCCACGGUCACGUGCGCAGUCAGGUUCUGCUCCUGAAGCAGCCUUCUGUCUCCCGGGCUCACCCAGCCCGGGAACUCCGGUACGGAAGAUUCUUCGUACCCGAGUAACCUCCGGUGAACCGGAAUCCCCAUUCUGGACAGUAAAUCCAGAAUUUUCGCCACAAUGGCCAGGCUGUUGCUGGCGUAUUCCGUCGAGUUCUGCAUAGCAUCCCUGAAUUCCUGAACCAGAGUUGAAUUGAGUUCUUCAAGAGAGUCAAGGCAGGUGUCUUGGUCAGUCAUGGAGGCGGUGAUCCACGUUUUUAAGUCGUUGAUCUUCGUCUGAGACAAGAGCUUAUCGCUGGAACCGAUCUCCAUGGAAGAGAGUGAGUCGUUAAGCUUAUCCACAGCGUCGUCGAAAAGGGUCUCGCAGACCUUGAAAGCCUCGUUGAGCUUGGUAUCAUUUCCGAUCUUGCUCUUGAGUUUCGAAGGCAAGUCCUUGAGCUUCGAGACCUCGUCAAUGGCGACAUGCAGGGAGAGCUUGAAGAGCGCUUCUGGGUCGGUGGUGUUGGAGUUCUUGAGAGAAGAGAUGCUCGAGAAACACGAGUUGGGGUAAAGGGUGACGUCGCAGACAGCUUUUAAAGAAGAGGAGGGAGUCAACUGGGUGGCGGGUUCGGUUGGUGACGGCGACGAUGAGCUGUUGCGGUUGUGGAUGACGGUGCCGGUGACGGCGCCGAUGAUAACGGCUACGAGGACAAUGAUGGAGACGAUGACGAUGAUGAAGCGCUUUCGGGUCUUGCGCCGGAAGGCUUGCUCUUCGAGCUCGUCGACUUUGCCGUAGCCUUUAAAGGAGGUCAUGGAGUCCAUAUUUUCUAGUGAACGACUGCUUUUGGUUUUGUUGGUUUUUUGCUUCUGGGUUUAGUUUUGGGUUGUGUCACUUGUGUGAGGGUUUAGUUUAGAGAAAGCUAAGAUUUUUGGGUUGCUUUUUAUAAAAGGGGUGGAAGUGAUGAGGAGGAGGAGGCCCCAGGAAGCCAUCACUUUCUUUCUAGGAUGAUGCUUCUGGAUUAAGAAUGUUAAUGUUAAUGUUAAUGUUAAUUUUAAGUUGAUUGAUUACAGUUUGUAGUUUAUGAUCGUGAUCCCUAUGACAAUAUGGGAAGAAAAUUGUGCUGCAAUGGUGAAAUGACUUUGUUACUGAGCAUAAUUAAUCCCAGCACGUUUUGAGUGGAUGUUUGUUUAUCUGAUGCUAAACAAGGCUGCAAUUGGACAGGUGGGAAUGUCAUUUGCUUCCUAAUAACAUGGCCUCACAUUGAAGAGUUAAACCUGUUUUACUUCCUUCGGGUGUCCGAAUAGUUGAAAGAAACUCUUGUUUGUGGGACAUUAGAUUUUUCUAAUCAUCACAUAUUAGACAUUAGACACAUGUAGUCGAUGAAUUCAAGUUUUAACUCAUAUAAAAUUUUAUAGGAAAAAUGCCUAAAUGGUCAGAAACAAGAAUUCAAAAACUUAUUUCAAUAAAAAUAAUAGUCAAACGUCCGUUUUAAUGAAUUAUAAGCAAAAGACAAAAUUAACCUUUGCAUAUUAUCUAGAAAUAAAACGUAGCCAUGUCUCUGGAUCAGAACCUCUNNNNNNNNNNNNNNNNNNNNCUCUCUCUCUCUCUCUCUCUCUCUCUCUCUCUCUCUCUCUCUCUCUCUCUCUCUCUCUCUCCCCCUUCCUUCACCAUCCUCGCCUCCGCCGUGCUGCUGCACCAUCUCUCCUCCGCCUGCGACGCCGGAAACACUAUCCAAAUCCAAAACGUCGGCGUUUGAUUCCUUCCUGGAGACCGAGCCCUCGUCGUCGCUCUGGCGCUCUUCACCCUUCGCUUGGCACUCGGUACUCUGUUCUCGUCAAUCAGUGCUCGGUGGUCGGCUGUUGGCCUUUGGCGCUCGCCGCUCGGCCUAACUGAAGCAGAUCUGGUCCUGAGCCUCCUCCUAAGCGCCGGCGACGAAUGUAGCAAUGAUUUUUUCAAGUCACAAGGUGAAAAGGUGAGUGGACUUGAGGAAGGUGUGAGGAUUCUAAGUUGCAGCGUCGCUAGCCUUCGGCAAAUUGGGGUCCCGAACAACGUCGUUGAGGACGGUGAGCUUUGCUGGGCGACGGAGGAAGGCUGGUUGUUGCUUAGUCUCUAAGAGGUAUGACGGUCAGAGGAAGACUGGUUCUGAGUUGUAUCGUAAGGUUGGACGCCGGAGUCGACGCCAACGCCGAUCGGGAAGUGUUUAGGCGCUAGCUUUGGGUGCCCAGAGCAAUUUUUUGGUUUGGGCUUGGGUCCUUGACAACGGGCUGGAGGUUUGGAUGCCCUUAUGGCCUCACAGUAAUGUUUCAACAUUUUAUUAGGGUUAGUAACUAUUAUUGGGGUCAAUAACUGGAUUAUGUUCCGGUAUUUCUUCUUAUUCUAUUACUAUAAGCUGAAAUAAGUUGAUUAUUGGGGGUAAGUAACUGAUUAUUAGAGGUUAGUAACACGAUUAUUAGGGGUCAGUAACUGAUUACUGGGGGUCAGUAACUGAUUACUGGGGGUCAGUAACUGGUUACUGGGUGUUAGUAACUAAUCAGUAACUGGUUACUGGGGGUCAAUAAUUGGUUACUGGGGGUCAGUAACUGGUUACUGGGUGUCAGUAACUGAUCAAUAACUGGUUACUAGGUGUCAGUAACUGGUUACAGGAGAAAUUUUGGUGACCGGAGUCCCGCGGCCGGUGACCGGAGUCCGACGGCAGGUGACCGGAGUCCGACGGCCGGUUACUAGAGUCCGGUGAGAUUCUGGCCAAGUAUUCUCUCUUUCAUUUUCUCUCUAUGCAUGUUUAAGGGGUGAGGGUAAAAUAGUCUUAAAAUAAUAUGAUUUGUUAAGACUUUAGUAAAGAUUUGUGCAUUUGGGCAUAAAUAUUUGUGUAUUUGGGCAUAAAAAAACUUACUUUAUAUUGAAAUGGGCUAAUGAAAAAGAUUAUCAUUGGAAUGAGAAAUAAAGGAUUUAAAUUAAUACUAAAUGAGUAUUUUCCCUUCUAUAAUAUUUGUUUAUUCAGUAAAGAAUGUUGAAAGUAACGAGAUAUCAUGCCUAAUUGGGUUUUCAACUAUUAGAUCCCUCUUGCUAUUGAUCUUCUCAUCACAUUUGGACAUUUGAAUCGGUUCCGAUUCAUAGAAGACUUUCCCUGAACAUAGAUCAGAACUUGUUGUCCAUGCUGUCACAUGUUAGUUAAAUUUAUGUAGCAUAUACACCUUGAUUGGUUUUCCACACUAAGUAGAUUUUAAGCCUAUAAUCACGGUUCAUCUCACAGAGAUCAUUAUCCAAGUUUUGAAGAUUGUAUUUUUUUUUUUUUUUUUUUUUGAAAGUUUGAAGAUUGAUUAUUUGCUUCAGGGGUGAUGGAUCCAGCUGUAUAAUACCACAAUUGUUUAUAAAGAUUCAACUUUGGAAUCCAUUUAUCCAAUUUUGGUUGCAGGAAGCUGUGUCCUGAUUUGCAGAGAGGAAGGAGAGAGUGAGGUACUGGGACACGGCUAAGUAAACCACAUCAGAAAGAAUCAUGAAACAAACAGAAAACCGAAAAGGGUCGACAUCAACUCCCACACAUAUAUGUCAACUCCCCACCACAUGAGACGAUCUGCAGACCAAUCUUAGAAGACCAAGUUGUUCUGCUCAUGUCCAAGCAUCCAAUCAAGCCAAGUAGCAAAACGAGUGGAACCCUCAUUUUCAAUUGUAUUUUCAUUGUGUCAUCGGAAAAGAAAUUGUAUUUUCUUCCAUUCCCACAUAGGACAAUCAUGCAUAUAUAGAUAGAAAAGGGGUUAAAAAUGGGGGGUUUCGCAGAACAGGUAGUAUCUAUAUGUGUAGGACUAUUUCAACGAGCUAGGUGAUGAUUGCUCUGUGCUGUGUUCUUCAGUUUCAAUAUUGGUAUUGGGAAGCCGGUGUGCCACUAAUCUAUUCUAUUAAUCUAUGGUGAUCAUUUUCCAGCUAGUUCAUGAACAUGUCAAAAGAUUGGACUAAGCAUCCUAUAUGUGCUCGACAUUUUUAUGCAACAAUGUGGAUACGUAUCCUCCCUUAGGUUGCCAAAUGGACCUGUAACAAUAUACAGAAUAAGCUUAACUAUCUACUUAUUUUCUUUGCAAGCAUAUAUUGUAGUUUAUAUUUGUAAGGUUUAAGGUUGAGCAGUCUUAGGUUUUAGACGUACGUAUGUAUCGAUCUGGGGUUGAGUAAUAGUUGUAUAUAUACAGGCAUAUAGCUUUCUUUUCCUUCCUAUCAUUUCUACAGAUCGCCUUUCUUCUUCUUCUUCUUCUUCUUCUUCUUCUUCUUCUUCUCGGUGAGCAUAUGUACGGCCUUUUACAAUAAGGAUCGUUUAUCUUCAAGAUCACUCUUUAAUGAUCCUUUCUACUACAAUCAAGAUCAACAAAACUGCAAUGCAUAUCGUUUGACUGAUCUAUAGUGCGAAAUAAAGAAAUAUGUAUGUUAAUAGUUAAGCAUAACUAGUUAUCCAAUAACGUUCAUAUGGAUUAUAUAGAACUUUUUGUUUUAAGAAAAUUGGGUGUCAAUCAAGUAAAAGUAUAAAUUAUUAUAAACUAUAUAGCUCACUUAAGGAGGGUUACAAUAAAAUUGAUUAAUUUCCGGUGACAUAUUGGUCUAAGACUACCUUGCAAGCUAAACAAUGCCACUUAAAAGUUGUAACAAUUCAUUGGAAGAAAAAUAAAGCUAACGAUAAUAAUGGUUGGCCUCUCCAUUUUUCUUUUUCACCCUAUCGCGCCCCAUCUUUUGAUGUUCGAACACAUGACCUCUUAGUAAGAAGAUAAGGUCUUAUUACCCCGCCAAACAAACUUCACUCCAUUUACCAUUUGCAGUUUGUCUUGGUAACAUAUAUAAACAAAAGGAGAGCUUCUAAUGAUGACCUUAUAAUGAGGACUAAUUGAGGAUUUUCAAAUGAAUGGUUGGAUGAAUGUUUUAACUUUUAAUUGAUAUUUUCAAAUUCCUAUGUGCAUGUAAUCCAACCGUUCAUUCGAAAGUCCUCACUUGGUCCUCAUUAGAAGCCCCCCUAUAAACAAAACUAAAAUGACACAAGUUAUUCAUAUAAACAAUCAAACAUGGCUUAAAUUCACAAACACAUAGGAGUACACAUCAAAUAAUUUGAUUUUUUGAGCAAAGAGCGGCAUCUUACUAAUAUACGGCAAUACCGUGUGCCGAUGUGAAUGAAGCUCAUUAUACGAAGCCGGCAAUUGCGCCAACAAGGGACCCAAAAUAUAUACUUCUUCUUCCUCGCAUUCCAUUUCUCCUAUAUUUUCAAUCUUUUCUUUGCAAGAAAUGAAAAGAAACCUAAUUUGAUGCAACUUCGAUCAUAAUUUCAUUUUCUAAUGUACGAGAAAAAGGAUAAAACAUAACGACCAAAACAGCAAAAUACAAGAACACAGCUGAAAGGUAAGACACAAAGAAAGGUCGACUUAGUUUGCAAAUAGGAAGCAGCAGCAUACAUUUUCUAUAUAUGAUAAUGCACUAUAACGUAGUAAACAUACUGAUCGACCAAAGAAGCCCACAGCAUCUCACUCCCUCUAUUAUAAUCCUAAGUACCAGCUGUUCUUUAUAUUUGAUUAUAAGCGUUGAACGCUUUUUGGUGAAUCUUAUUUCCGGUAACCAGGACGUUGAAUGACGUUGAGAUUCAAAAGAGGUCGAGAUUCUAUUUUGAUUUAAAAAAAAAAAAAAAAAAAGGUAGACCUAAUUUACCCCAAAUUUUCAACGUUUUCUUUUCUGAUUUGUAGUUUUUGAUGUUUUAUUAUACGAUUGUAACAAGUAUUACAAAAAACUUUGGAGUUUGAUGUCAGUAAAAACAUGACAACAAAGCAAUGAUAUGUAUGCCAUACGAAUAAAUAGAAAAAAAAAAAUGUUCUUUAUAAUUCACACAAUAUAAGCCGUUCUUGAAAUAGGGUAUCUAGGUACAAGCACCAUGGGACUCAAGUCCCACUCAAAUAUUUUGGGGAAAAAAAUUACUACUUAUAGUUAUCAUUAAUUUUAUGGUGUGAUUGUAAGAUUGUUGAGCUUAAGCCCCACUCAAAUUCCUUCAUCUUGUACAAUUACUAAUCAAAUAUUUUUUAGGAUAGUCUCACUCAAGUCCUAGCUAGCAUUGACGUGAUCCAAGUGCCUAACGUAUACUUAAUUUCAUUUUUGUUAAAAAAAGAGAUAAGUUUAUCUAUUUUCUCAAAAAAGAUAUACGUCUAUGUUGUCUGUUGUCUUCUUUUCUUCCUUGUCAUACCCUUGUCACGCAGCAUCGGUGAGGACGCGAGGUUGUCGGUCUUAUUGAAAUGCUUAUUUAAUUUUUUUUGUUGUACGUCUAAAGUGUUUUAUGAAUUAAACAAACAUUGAAGUGAUAAAGGCCCAUUACGUCCUUUAUGACUAGGCUUAUCUUUAUUUUUAAUCUAUAAAUUUCUCUAGCACCGUCAAAAAAACAUUUCUUACCAAAAAUUCAAAUCCCACCCGAUUACGAUUCCUGGAUCCGCCCCUGGGAUGAGAGUAAAAAUUCAAGAGUUCAAAUGCGGUUAUGUCAGUUUGUUAUCAUUGUGCUCAUCAGUCAUCAUGAUAAAUAGAUGCUUGACACGCCAUACAUAUGCUGCGCGCUAUCAUUGUGUUCAUCAUGAUAAAUAGAUGCUUGAGACACCAGAUGCCGAAUAAUGCUAAUUAAGGAGUUUUGGUUUUCUAAUGAGAAUGCUAAUUAAGGAGUUGUAAUGGCCUGUUGGUAGAGAAAUUGACAUCGGGCCAUUGCCAUCUGGUGAUUCCAGUGCUCCAAGAGUGGAUGGAUGGCAAUGAGACCUUCCACCAAAACAAAGCCUUGAUCAAAUGCACAACACGAAUUUGCCAACUUUGUUCUUUACAACUGAAAGGAAAAACCCUCCAGACUACUUUGAUUCCAAGUUAGCUGUAGACAUAUAAAAUUUAACGAUAAUAAUAAUUGUUGAAUUAUUCAAACGAUGCGUGAGCCCAACAAAUUACAUACGUGGCUCGUGAGUUGGCAAAAUUGAAAAGUCGUUGGAAAUGACAAGUGGCGACAGGCGACGUGUAAAUGGUCGGCCGACAACAAAACCUUACAUCUCGACUAAAAUCAAUUAUUAAAUGUCGAUCGAUAAUCAGAUAUCAAUUAAAUUAAAUUGAUUAUCGAAAACGGAAGUCGGACAUUUAAGCCAAAUCGGUUAUACCUUAUCGGUCAUAAUUAAAUCAAUCACUUAAGACUGAUUGAUUUAAUUAUGUUAAAAUUAAUAAUUAAAUCAACCAAUCAAAACUGAUUGAUUUAGUUAUUACCGUUAAGGAAAUACAAUUAAUUCGGUGUCUUCAUUACAUGCCAUAAACGGAGGUAUGUUGACACUAUAAAUAUCCCCUCUCAUAUCAAGGGGAUGACUUCCGACAAGAGAGAAAAAUUACUCCUGAGAGCUCAGAAGUCUCCCAAAACCCUUGAAGAAUCAUCAAGCUGUCAAAUAACUGAUUCUUCAUCAACCUCAAGCCGAGAAGUUGUCAAUUACCGAAGAGUCACUAAGUUGCCAAAUAGCCGACAUCUUGACCAACUACAAGAGGAAGAGCAACCACCACAUGGAAAAGUUCAUGGCCCAAACCCGAUCAACGUCAAGCCUCUACGGCCCUUGAUCAACCCUCGUCUUCAAGCCUUUCAACAAAUCAAAACUUCUACCAAGUUCUUCAACAAGCUUGUGGAGAAUCAACAAGCACCAAACACAGGUGACGAUUCAUCUGCUAUCAAGCUAAAGAACAUUCACCACGUGACACCUCUCGUGGCCCAAAUUCGACCAAGAUCAAGCCUAGCCUCUACGGCCCUUGGUCUACUUCCUUCUACAAAUCGUCAACACGAUAAGAAGUUCAAACUACAACAGUUCAAUUUAAAAUCAAGUGCUCGCCACCCUUGGAUUAAAUCAGCGUCGGAGAUCGAAUAAGAGGGCAUUCUUAAUAAAAGAAUACCCACAGAGAUUGUAACCCGCAAAUUCAAUCAAUACAAAUAUAUUAUUUUGCACACAUGUCUUUCUGUUAUUCGUUACAGGAAUUUUCGUGUUUACACUAGCUACAUAGAAUUUAAAGAUGCUUCACCCCACAAAAAUCCAAUAGGAAAAUAGACGCCUACAACAGCAGUAAAGCUAAGCAAAGCUUAGGAUCCAUUAAAGAGACUGUAAGAUGGAAUUAACGUACUGUAACAGAAGUGCAGCCCAUAAUGAAGCAGAUGUUUUGUCACUGCAUAUAGCCCACUAGUUUAUUUGGACUCCAAGUUCAUAGUUUCAUUCCUUUCUUUCCCUCUUGAGUCUCAUGCAUCCGUUUCAUCACUUCAUGUCAUCAAGAACAUGAACUGUGCCUUUAAUGGUAGAUGUUUUUGUGUCUUUGCCUCUUUGGGAAUGUAUCUAAACGAUGUGACAAAUUGGAUCUCUUAUUCCUUUUUACGGAAGAGAAUCGGAUACAGCCAACUAUCAAAAGGGGCAGUUCAAAGUUGAGCACAAUUUCUUUGGAUAGAAAAUGGAUUAGGUGAAUACUACAUGAAAAUAAGAUGCUCUUAUUCAUUAACCAACAGAUAGCAGUAUCUUGAUCGACACUGCGAUCACGGCCGAAACAACACACUCACUCGAUAACACAGCUACAAUUACAAGUUACAAGAAUUAUUACUCAUCUAGCUACAUUCUACAGACCAAGAGUAAAUGGAAAACCAGUAGCACUCAACCAACUUCCACCAGCAAUAAAAUUCCCUGGUGUGAAAGCCUGAGCUUCUGUGGCGCUUGUGAUCACCUUGUACCCCUUCCACGUCACCCUGUUUGAAGUCGAAGCUCCAGCUCCAGUGUUAGCAUACUCAGCAUAGAACAAUGUGUCUAGGGCAAAAGUCCCACUCCACUCGUACCACCCAGCAGGGUCGAUGAUAUCAGUAAUGGAAGAUUGCAUAAUCACAGUCCUAGAGUACUCCUUCCACGGCCUUCCCAGGUAUGUCUUAAAGCUACCCUUCACGGCUUGAAGGUCAGAAGUGGCACCAAUCCUUGAUUUUUGGAUCACAAUGCCGGUGUUCUGGUUGGGGUCGGUUCUCCCUUGGGCUGUGAGCAUGUUCUUCUGGCCAGAGUUGGGCUUUCGGGCAUGGAUAUCACAAUUUUGUAACACAACUGCAGCAUUGCCAAAGAUGAAAUCGACUGUGCCCGCAAUGAAGCAGCCCUCGAAGAACUGACGGUUGGAGUGGACGUAGAGGGAGUCUUGGUACGCAAGAAUGUCACAGCGGUAGAAGGCCGAAAGAUCGGAACCGACACGGAGAGCAACUGCUUGGUGCUUUGAGGGACCUGCAGUGUUCUGGAAGGUGAUGUCUCGGGCUAAGAAUCCCGCACCAACCGCCGCUGCAACCACACAGAUUUAUACGUUAGGGCAUGACAAGUAUAUUUACAUAGUAUAAAGAAGUUCUUAUACGAAUAUAGGUACAUAUACCAGAUAUAAUACACUAUUUCAAAGUAGAUAAAGAUAUUAUGUGUCCCGUUUAAUUUGGGAGCUAGCUAGCUACUCUGCUAGUGUAUUGUGUUUAUUGUUUAGUUAAUAAGGUGAGCCAUAGUAGUUUGGUAUGCUUGGUUUUGUGUGCGUGAAGACUGUGAACUGAAAUGGGUGAGACAUGAGUGCAAAUGCGAUUUUCAAAUGAGAAGAAGAUGGCAAAUAAUUAUUCUGGUUAAAUGGGGACAACAAUCAUCAAUAUAAUCCAUUAUGACUCAGCUAGAAAGAAGCUGGCUAGGACCAAACUCCAUGAAAGAAUCUAACCAACAGGGAACAAAAGAAGUAAAGUCUAUAGAAUAAAGACAGAGGAUAGGAAAGAUAUAAUAAAAUCCAUACACAUGCACAUUAUUCAGAUCGGAUGUCAUCGAAAAACUAUGCACCUUUUAAAAAAAAAAACUAUGCACAUUAUUCAGAUAAUAUGAUUCUCGACCUCUCAAUACGUAUCUAUCACUUCAAAAAUUGUCUCUGUCAUUAUACAGAACAUACAGAACCAGAUGCACAAGGAAGCUGAGUUGAAAGGUUUACUUAGAAGUAAUACAAGACGGUGACACAUGGUGUAACAUGCCUUAAUGCUGGCUGCUAUUGCAAACCAAAAAGAGACAGAUUCUGAUCUCUAAGUCCAACAUAAUUUCGAAAAAAAAGAACUGGAGUGUCGGUGGUUACUAAGAUCUCAAUUAGGGUUUCAAACGUCCCAUGAUUCAAGCAACAACAAACGGGGAAGAAAGUUGUAAAAGCCAAUGAAAAGGAAAGUGGAAGAUGAUCGACGAAGCAUCCUACUGGGAUAUAUGAGCAGACUAAUACGAAUACAAAAAAAACAAAAGAACAGUAGAAAGACAACUUAUACCGUAAAGUCUUUAGGACCAAAAAACAAAGAGUUGAGUUGGUGGGUAUAAACAAAAGACAUUGCAAGCACAAAAAUUCAAAGAAAAAGGGCCAAAGGGAACGUCGAGCUGUAAACCACACAAGUACUCAUGCAGCUUAUAGAUUUAGACGCGAGGAGACAACUUCACAUUUCUAUAAUGACAUAUAUCUGAAUUUUGGAUGCCAAUUAAGAUAACGAAGAAGCACGAGAUAUCAUAACAAUGACAUUUACCCAGAAAAUUGAUAUGAAUCUGAAACUAAACAAGAGCUCCACACUAAUUCAAGUGUUCAGACACUGGAAUUAGGAGAACGCUGAAAAGCAAGAGAGAAUCAUGAAUACAAUCUAGCUAAUUGUAUGUAUGAUGAUGGUGAUUGUUCACCAAUAAACUAGCAAUCUUCAAGAUACGAAUAUCAGAAAGACAGACAAGUUUCUUUAAAAAAACGAUAGGCUUUUGUAAAAGCGCCAAUGCCAUGUGCUGGUUUUUGGUUUAUUGAAAUCAAAGCCAUGGACGACGAAAGUUUCAACACUUGGGAGAUGUUUAUAAAUUUCUGGCAGCCUGGGAUUGAUAUUUUGGAGGUCCUGCUUUGUCUAGUCAACUUAGGUGGACCAAUGUAGUUCUUAUAUAUUCUAGAUGAUGUCUAAAAAAUCGAAGUUUUCAAUGGUCCUAAAACACAGAGGAGAGGGUGAAUGGGACGACACGACAAAAACAGAGUCUCGCAGACGUUACCUUAUUUUCAUUUUUCAAGGAACAUGUUGAUUUCACACUAAAACUUAGAAGAAAAGUUAAAAACCUAAAUUAAAAUUCACUAUAAUAGAAGAAAUUUUAAUGCGGUGAACGUAUAAUGCAUAUAACGGAUGCUAACUUGGAAUAUAAACAAAAGGUAUGAUAUAUGUUUUUCAAUUUUGAGCGAAAAAUUGUUUAACUACACGAAUGACUGAAACCCUAAUCAAAGUUUUCUUUUUUCUUUUUAAAAUGGGAACCCUAAUCAAAGUUAUAAAGACGCAAUUUCAACAGAGAGCCAGUUUUUUUUUUUUUUUUGUCGAAGAAAAGAAAAAAGAAACAGUGUGCCAGGUUUUUAGUGAGAGACUGAGAGGCAAAGGUUUUUAGUGAGAGGCAAAAGGUGCACUAUUAUUUGUGCGUGGGAGUCACACAUGACAUAGCAAUGCCAUCAUAUAUGGAGGCGGGAGGCCUAUCCAAUACUGUCACCCCCAAGUUGGCUCACACUGCCCUCAGUAAAGGCAUGGAGAUAUCACGCUACCCUAAGUAAAGGCAUGGAGAUUUCAAUACAUGGAACCCACACGACAUGAACCUAGAAAGACAUCCAUCCGAUGAUUAUCCAAAUAUAUCUUUUUUAUCGGAUGAUUAUCCAAAUAUAGAUAUCGUCAAGAGGUUAAAAACAUAAACAAAACACAAGUGGUAAAUGAAAAUUAGCUAAAGAUAAUGUAAUGUUAUUGGAGUACUUACCCACUGUGGCGGAAUUGAAGGUUGUGUCACCAUCGACCACAUUUCUACUUCCGGUAAUAAUUGUGGUAGUCCUCCCAUCGCCCAAAAACAUUAUGUUCGUCUUGGCCUUUGGCACAUCCACAUUUUCUCUAUACACACCGGCCUUGAUUCUGAUCACGUAUCUGCUGGUACUCUUUGACGGUGCGGCCGCGACCGCCUCCGAUACUGUCUUGUAAUUUCCGCUUCCGUCGGCAGCCACGAUCACAUUCGGUGUGACAGUAGAGGAUUGCAAGAGAUGUCUAUCUGCGGCGGAGAGCCACUCCGGCCAUCCCUCUGAACGUUCCUCCUUUAGCUUCCGGUUAGUCGUGGAGGACAUUGCUUUCAUCUCGUUUGCAAUGUCGUUAUCAGUCAUGUUUUUAAUCAUGGCCAGCGCAUUGCUGCACAACUUUUCUACAUAUUUCUGUACAGAAAAAAAUACAGUAAUGUCAAUUAAAUUACGUCGGUGCAAAUUAUAGAAACAAGUAUAUCACUAUGUAGAAAUUAAAGUAGGAACAAACAAAAUAGUGUAUGACGUAUAUGUUUUCCCAUUUGCUUGUUAGUCUCACUUGCUCUAGAUAAAACUAAUGUUCAUGGGGGAAAGUGAAAACUAGCUUGACUAAAUAUAUAUGUAACCGUAGCGAUCGAGAUUUCGGACAGAAACGUUACCUGACCCUUCUCCAACGAUUUCCGAACUAUUUUAUCAGCCUCGGCGUGAGAAAAUCCGUCAAGACAAGUCUCCUGGUUGGUAAUGGCGGAGCUUAUCAACGUCUUGAGAUCGUCGGCAUGAGCAGUCAGAGUCUUGUUGAUGCUCGGGUACUGAAACAGAUCCUUCACCGCCUCAUGGAGCUCAUCGAGAGUCUCAUCAAUUGUCUCCAGGCAGUCGUGCAAGGCGCACCUCUCGCGCUUGGUGAGGCUCUUCACGAGCUUCUUGAUCAGCUUCUUGAUGGUGAAGAAGUUGUGCUCCACCGCCGUGAUGGUGAUGUUAAGGGAAAGCCCGAUCACGUCUUUGAAGCUGGUGACGUUGGUGGUGGCGGCAGNGGUGGCGAGGGUGGAGAAGCAGAGCUCGGGGUANGGGUGGAGCUGCAUGAUUUUCACGAUAGCGUGAGCGGCGGAGAGGGUCUCAUUGUCGGAGUUGGAGUUUUUGUUUUGAACUCCGGUGGCAAUGCCGAUAACGGCAGCGACUAGAAGAACCGUGGCUAUAAAGGCCAAGAAGAGCUUCUUGUGGCUUUUGGAUUGGGACACUCUGGCCAUGAACUCUUUAAUUGUGGCCAUUUUUGGGUGAGGGAGUUGGGAAUGGAGGGUUGAGUUGUAUAUAAAGAGUGGAGUGAAGAGUGUAGCUCUUGGCUCUGGUUAUGGAAUGUGCCCCUCAGUCAUUGUCAGUCUGUCAACUAUUUUUCUUUCUUUUUUGCAUUUCCUUAGCUUCUUUGUUUAUUUUUGAAUUUUGCAAUUGCAUGUUGCUUGAAGUGAUUAUUGCCUACUUGAAUUGUAUUGCCAUGUGGGGGUGUCUCUUCAUGUAUUGUUCGGCUAUUUCAUAUUUUGGACUACACUACAAUUACAACGGCAUUGUCUCGCACGUAUGAACAACUAGACUCAACAAUAAGUUCUUUUAGUGAAUUCACAGGGAUGAUAAAUAAUUCGUCUGUUUUGGUUCAUCAGAAUGAUCAGAUCAACUCAAUAGAUUAUAUAUUGAAGUUUACAAUUUUAAGGGGUAAAAUGAACAGAAUUUUUACUCGUGCAAUUGUAGCUUGUUGAGAUUCUUCGUUCAGAUGUUAUGUUUAAUUUAAACACGUUAACAAAUAACCUUAAUUUAAGAAAAAAUGUGAUCAUACCACUAGCAUUGUAUAAUGACUUAGUAUUUGUUAGAAAAAUGGUGAAUAUAUAGAUGGGAAAAAAAUGUGAUCUAGUUCACUAGCCGUGAGUGUAAGUGAUGUGUUUUCAACUUUUCAUCAAUCAACUGGUCAUUUCGAGUGUGCCCAAUGCAGGUGGCAAUUAGCAUGUUAUACCUAGGGUAGAAUAUUUUCACGUACUCCCAACUUUGUCCUUGAUUUGUUGCAAUGUUUUGUCUUGUUUAUCAGUAGUAAGCCUUAUCCGUCUUCCAUGCUACAUAUUAUUAUUGUUAAUCCUAGCUUAGUGUGAAUAAGUAUCAUUCUAAGUAAAGACUUAAACGAUGGGAGAGAAGAAGCACGAGUCAUCGAAAUAUUACAUUACUGAGUUAAGUAAUGACAACUUGAAUCCUCAGAACGAUUAUCUUUUUGUAUAAGACCGUUACCUAAUUCGAUUAUUCUUUGUAUAUCAGAGCGCAUCCAAAAUCUGCAUUAUUUUCUAUUCAAGUUAUCUGUAACAAAUGAGCAUCAUUUCUUGGCCUCGAUCGUUAUAAUCCCCAGCUUCAAACAUUUCCUCUCACAGUUCCAUGCGAUGUUCUUCGUAGCAAAGAGAGUAAACACUUAUAUUUCUCCUAGAUUUCUAGGUAUUGGUCAUUAAAUCUGCAAAUAAAGAAUCGAUUUCUUGAUGUGGGUAUUCAGCUAGAUCUAGCUAACUGUCUUGAUUUAGGUCUGUUGUUCAUCUUGAAUUGUUCGUGCUACUUCUGACCAGUGGCCCUAAACUCGUGUCCACAAUACAGUUUUCUGACUUUUCUCGUUUAAGAUCGAUCGAUGUGUAUUAUGCAGCCAAGAAACUGAAGAAAGUUCCCUUUGUUACCCCAGAUCGAUAUGACCCUGCAGUUACAAAUCAAAUUAAUAAAAACAAAUUACAGACUGAAGUUAAUUGUCAAAUAAUAUUGUAUCAAAAUGCAUGGGAUCGAUAUAAUAAGUAUAUAUAGAGCAAUGAAAAUGCAGGUAAAUAAUCAAAUUCCAAAAACACAGAGAGAUUCCUUCAGAUAAAGUGGAUAUCUAUAUAUAAACAAACCUGCCCUAGAUACACUCUACCAGUCCCAACAGAUUCAGAUCCAUUAAAAUCUUAUUACUGAACAAAUACUAAUUGGAGCUUCAUAACUUGAUCUUCGACAAAGGUCAAUUAUAUCAUCUGCCAGCCAGCAUAUCAGCAUGCAUCUAGCUAUUGGUUAUAAUUACAUCAGACUUGGUACGUACAGUCCUUUGAGCAUGCUCUCUUCAAAGUUGAAUGACUAUCCCACCAUGCAAUCAAUCAUUUUUGNNNNNNNNNNNNNNNNNNNNCUCAACUUUGUAUAAUAUACGUACGAUUCUCAAAUUACACUUAAAAAAUAUCAUUCUAAUUAACACUCAUAUGUUUAUCUCGCAUGAUGUUAUUACCUAAAAUGACACAAUUAAUAGUCGUAUCACUCGUAUGUACAUCUUAUUUCUCUGACCUGUCCAUAAUUAGUUAGCUUAUGUUGGUCUGGACUACAUCGAUCUAACAUUUCUAGCUAUUAUUAUUACUAUUCUUUUCUCUUUUGUUUUGUCAAGCAUAUAUUCUGUCAUGAUUUGCCUUGACUUUUUUCCUAUAUCGAGUUGGCUUUUGAUACCAAACAACGUUUAACUAUAAUUAAAAGCGCAAGGUGCUAAAGAAAAUAUAGGGGCGAAGGAAAGGAAGCCGAUCGAUGAUCAACCAAGACCAAGACAGGUAAGAAACAUUAAUAAAUGACCAUCCAAUUAAAAAAGAGAGAGAAUAGGAAAAAAGAGAGAGAGAGUUGAUUGACGGUCAUAGAUGACCACUAAGGUUGGCAAAUUUGGUUCCUAUUUUUAUAUAAAAUUAAAUUUUUCAUAAAGCUCUUUAUCCAUUAGGCUUUUGAAUACCUUUAUAUAGUUUAACCAAUUAAUGUUCACAAAGUUUAAUUACUAGUUUACCACAUUGUUCCAAAACCACCUACAAACUACAAUGAAAGGUCGCUUGGUUUAUAGCUAGAGCUCCAAUUGAACUGCAACUGCCCCGCCACUUAAGCUCUAAAAAAAGAAUGCCAUCGUAAGGAAAGGAAACAUAAUCUAUUAUUGUUCAUUCAUUUACAAAGUGUCAACUACAUAUAUAAUGUAUAGCUAAUUAAACCUUCAGUCCGAACAUCAUCAAUAUCAAAAUCAUGAUACUUUUAUUCUCUGUUAUGCAUGAUAGCUUAAUUAACACCAUGAUAUCGAGCCUUGAUCUAUUAAUGUAGUUGAGCAAUUUAGUGUCGGCAGGGCGAUGACUAUAUUAGAUCACAAGAAUAAUCCAACGAGUCCCUCAUGCUGACUUUUCUUUUUUGCACGACCCACAUAUAUACGUAAAGAAAAGCUUCCAUUAAUAUAUGCAUGCAAUUCAAUUUUCAUUGUUUUGUCACUUUAUCCUAGCUAGUAUCCUAUCCUCAUAAAAAUAGACAUGAAGAAAGAUUUUUUUUUUUUUUUUUUUGAAAGGACAAUAUAUCCACAAAAGUAAGAAGACAUGUUCUCUUGAGGGACAUAUUCUAAUAGUCUGUGAGCGACAAAUGAAUUUGACGAUCGAAACCAAAAACAGGCUCAAAUUGUUAAUUAUAUAUAAUUCAUGCAGUUCAAUAUAACACUUAUGGUUGAGAUAUGUUUAUCUUACAAUCCUUUAAAUUGUUCAUUAGGUGAGCAAGAUAUGUACAAUGGUUGAAUAUAUCAUUAAUUAACUUCUUUACUUUUUCUUUCUUUCAAAUUUUUUUUUUUAUGCUAAUGUUUUGAACUCAAAAUAAGCGCUUCAUAUACAAUUUGAUCAUUUUUGGAAUAUAAAUAAAUAUAAUGUAGACUGAAACUUGAGUACUUUAAAUUCAUAGUAGUUAGUUUUAUACUUAUUCAAUAUAUCACUAAUACAUGUUGAAGGACACGUUUACUUAAUUGGAAUAUGAGGAAUGCGUAAGGGUUGGGGUAAAAAUACGCGUUUACUUAUACAUAAAAGAAUUGUAAUGAUUUUAAAUAAAAGUACUUACUCUUGUGUUUACAAACACAUGAACGAAUAUGAAUAAGUACUGUAGGUCGCAUUUCAUUAUAUGAUUUCAAUUCUUGAAUAAUCCUUAACUUGAUAAUCAAAGGGAGACAAUGUGAUUAGGAAUCAUUCCCUGAUUCUUUCAUACUCCAUUCUAGUUGUCUCCGAUUCAAAAGUGCUUAUUUUGAGGGAAAAUACGUAGUCUAGGGAAAAAGACCAUUUGCACAAAAUAGAAAAAGUCAAACCCCAUUUCAAUGAUAAUCUUUUUUAUUAGCCCAUUUGAAUACAAGGUACUUAUUUUAAGCCCAAAUACACAAAUCUUUAUUAAAAUAUAAUAAAAUGAUAUUUUAAAAGACUUUUUUACCCUUAACCUUUAUUUAAAGAGAAAAAAAGAAAAAGAAGAAGGGAAGACUUUCCUGGAAGCACACCGGACACCAGCGCCGAUCGCCGGUCACCGGAUUCCGGUCGCCGAACACCGGUUGCCGGAUUCCCGUCACUGGACACUGGCCGCCGGAUUCCGAUCACCGGUCGCCGAAAAAUUGAUGGUGAUCGGAAAAUCGCCGGAGUCGCACUGGAUUUUUUUGAAAAAAAUGUCACCAUAACCCACCGGAUCUUGCCGGAAGCAUACCGGCAAAAAAUGAAGUUUACUACCCCUAGUAAACUUUUACUAGGGGUAGUAAACUUGCAAAACAGUAGCUCCAAUGCCAUAAUUCACAUUGAAAAAAAGAAAAAUCAACUUAGAUGCGAAAAAAUAAAGUUUACUACCCCUAGUAAACUUUUACUGGGGGCAGUAAACUUGCAAAACAGCAGCUCCAAUGCCAUAAUUCACAUUGAAAAAGAGAAAAAUCAACUUAGAUGCGAAAAAAUGAAGUUUACUACCCNNNNNNNNNNNNNNNNNNNNNNNNNNNNNNNNNNNNNNNNNNNNNNNNNNNNNNNNNNNNNNNNNNNNNNNNNNNNNNNNNNNNNNNNNNNNNNNNNNNNNNNNNNNNNNNNNNNNNNNNNNNNNNNNNNNNNNNNNNNNNNNNNNNNNNNNNNNNNNNNNNNNNNNNNNNNNNNNNNNNNNNNNNNNNNNNNNNNNNNNNNNNNNNNNNNNNNNNNNNNNNAACUUACAAAACAGUAGCGCCAAUGCCAUAAUUCAUAUUCAAACGGAGAAAAAUCAACUUAGAUGUGUAGUAAACUUUUACUGGGGGUAGUAACCUUGCAAAACAGUAGCUCCAAUGCCAUUAUACAUACUAAAACAGAGGAAGAACAAUUUAAAUUCGAAAAACUAAAGUUUACUACCUCCAUUAAACUUUUACUGGGGGUAGUAAACUUACAAAACAAUAUUUUCAAGGCCAUAAUACAAACUAAAACAGAGGAAGAACAACUUAGAUGCAAAAAAUAAAGUUUACUACCUCCAUUAAACUUUUACUGGGGGUAGUAAACUUGCAAUCUAUUAUCUCCAGAGAAAAAUCAACACACAAGCAAAUAAUAGAAAAUUACUACCCCUAGUAAUUUUUAUAUUUUGAAAAUUACUACCCCUAGAAAAUUACUACCCCUAGAAAAUCAACACAUAAGGUUCAAAUCCGUCGUAGCAGAUCGGCUCGGCCUUGUUCGCCAGCAACUUCUUGAGCUCCUCAUCUUGGACACACUCCUCAAGAUAUCGUACUUCUCAACCAAGCUCAGCCUUCAUCGUAAACAUAGUUUCGAAGUCAGUUCAAAUUAGUAAGAGCAAAUGCAGAAGAGGAAGAGAGAGAGAAAGCGGCGGAGACUUACGGGACGGAUGGAGUAGCGGAUGAGCUAGAGGGCUGAGAUUCGGCGACGACCGACGGCGGUUUGACCUCGUCGGAGAUCGACAUGGAUUUGACUUCGUCGGCGGCGAGUUGCUCUGGUGCUUCGGUUGCGGGGAUUAGGCAGAGGAGAGGAUAAGCUCGUCGGAGAUGGUGGAGGCGAGGAUGAGGUCGCCGGCGACGGAUCUGUGAGUGAGAGUUAGAGAGAGUGAGAGGUUUGCAGAUCCUUCGUUAGAGAGUCAUCGAUGUCAAGGCAUUGGUCGGUGUCGGUGAGGCUUUGAUCGGCAUUGGCUUGCUUCGGCGAGGCAUGGCUGGCUUCAGAUCUCGUGGAGGAUGUGAGAGAGAGAGAGAGAGAGAGAGAGAGAGAGAGAGAGAGAGAGAGAGAGAGAGAGAGAGAGAGAGAGAGAGAGAGAGAGAGAGAGAGAGAGAGAGUAGAGAGUAGAGAGUAGAGAGAGAGAGUAGNNNNNNNNNNNNNNNNNNNNGAGAGAGAGAGAGAGAGAGGCCCGGUCGUCGAGGAAGAUGGUGACGGUGUAGUGCCGAUGCUCCUUGCUCGAGGGCGUCGGUGGCGACGCUGUCUUCCACCAUGGAAGUUCGUCGAGGUGAGAGAGAGGAAGAGAGAGGAGAGAUGAGAGAUGAGAGAUGAGUGAGAAGUGAUCAGGAAAGAAGAUAAGAAAGGAGUGGUGGGAAUAGAACGGUGGGUAUAAAUGUCUUUUCCUUAUGAAUAAUUGAGAUGGGCAUUGGGAAAAGAUUAUCAUUGAUGUGGGCAAUAAAUCUUUAAAAUUAGUAUAUUAAGGCAUUUACUCUUCAUUGAUUGAUAUACUUCAUUAAGUUUAGCGCAUAUGUACGAUUAAUGUUCUUAAUACAACAUAAGAAAAAAAAGGUUACAAAAAGGGGUAAAUUUGGAGACAUGAAACCACAUCAACAUGUUUAGAUGAAAUUUUUACUAACCUGUGUUUGACACAAGUUUGUCGAUUCCUACACUAUUCUUAAGCAACAAGAACUAUCCAUACAGAUUGCAACGAAGCGAGUAUGAGGAGAUAUUAAACAACAAUACUUCUUCACGUAACAAUAUGUCAAUCUGAUGCAACAGUUAUCUCCUAUGUAUGCUGCAGUUGAUAAAAACAAGAGCUUCCCAGCAAAAAUAUAAGACCGAUGAGAGGAAGAGGAAGAUCAUAGCUACCAGCCAACCAAGACCAUUUCAAUCUUUGAAAGAAAAACACUAGGUAAGAUACAUUCAUUCAUUUUGUUCACAAUCCAAUUACUAUUUGAAAUCAGUACUAGUGCAGAGUGACAGAAGGAGGACCAUUUCCCAGUUGUGACAAUUCAAGUUUUUAAAAUUAAACAUGUGUGUAGCUAGUUAGGACUGCUUCAAUGCCCCAGUACCCAUAUUAAUCAAUGGGGACGGUCGUCUAUGAUCGAUACAUAUACUAGAUUGAUACAUAUGUAGAUUAGGUUGUAGUGUUUUGAGUAAUGCUAACAAAAUUGAACUCCCACCAAAGUGGAACUGGAAGUAGAUCAAUACACUGUUGAUUUUUCUUGAGGCAGUAUAUGUGGUAUCUUUCUAUGUGAUUGUAGGAUUAGAAAGUAUGUAGCUAUACCGGUAAGUUUUGCAAUAGAAAGUAGAUACUAAUUAAAGAGUGACACUUCGUUGUAUAUGUUAAUAUGUUAUUACUAGACAUACAUGCCUCCAUGAUUCUAUAUACAUAAACUUGUAAAUCAUUCUACUGAUUUUUCAGGAAAAUGACGAGCUACUCAAAAAGAAAUUACAAAAUAGAUAGCCAAGUGAUACUGGAAAUUGACUUGUUAUAAGACCAAAGAUGGAAUGAUGGUGAAGAAGAAUCACUCCUUAAAGUUCUAAAGAUGUCUACUAAUGUUUAAAAUAGGAAUAAAUUGUGAUUUUAGGUUGACUGAAAAAAUAUGAAGGGUGAAAGUGCUCUAAACUUCUGUCUUCUGAAAAACAUGCUGGGUAGUUUUGAGUUAUGGUAUGAAAAAUUGAUUCAUGAAAAAAGCAGAACAUAUCAGAUAUGGAACAGAUCACCUUGAGUAGUAAUGAUGGAAGAGAAAAAUGGAGCAGAAGAGACUAAAACACAAACAUUGAGCUAUGGAACAGAUUUUCUCAUUUACUCGUGCUUCCUUUUCUUCUGGCCUCGGCCAAUGGUGUAUGAUUGUGAUCUAACAAGCUCCCUAGGUAUAGCUGCACCAGAAGAUCUUAACAUUUCAACCAAUUCUGGAAACAAUUUCUUAUUUUCCUGACAUACAAACACAAUUGCUGUACCCUCUUCUCCCAAUCUAGAUGCCCGACCAAUCUGGUGGACAUACUCAUUAAUGGAAUUGGGCAUGUCAAAAACAAUAACCUGUCUUACACUCAAGAGAUCUAGCCCGCGGCCUAAAACACCGGUGGCAACAAUAACAGGAACAUCACCCACUAAAAAUGACUUCAUGACAUCUCUCCUCUCCUUCAUGGAUUUCUCCCCAUGGAUUGAUAAAGCUUUCACACCAGUGGUGACUCUAAUUGCAUUUGAUAAGAGAUCUGCUCCAAGUCUUGAUGCUACAUAAACCACAGCUGGUGGCAUAAAAUGCUGCUUACUCAUCAAUAUAUCGAAAAGCUUUUGCUUCUUUUGCUUCGACUCAACCCAUAUAGGCACCUGCUUCACAGCCUUAUUUGGUCUGUUAGGCUUGCCAACAGAGAUUACAGUAACAUCUUUUGACAUAGAACUCACCAUCUUCUCUAUAUCUUGGGAGGUUGUUGCAGAAUACAGUAAAACCUGGGGUUGUGAUAGAGCCCUAAAUAUCUGCAUCACCUGAUCCCUGAACCCCCUUUGGAGCAUGCAAUCCACCUCAUCAAGAACAAAAAUCCUUACAUCCUCCAAUUCAAUAUCAUGGUUUGCUAAAAGAUCAAUUAGUCUUCCUGGAGUUCCCACUAUGAGCUCAACUCCUUGCUGAAUGCGGAAAAGUUGUCUGGGCAUUGCGUCGCCACCAACUACAAGUGCAGUUUUAAAAGGCAAACCCUUUCCGAGCAACUUAGCUUGUUCUUCAACUUGUAUACAGAGCUCUCUAGUUGGAGUUAGAACCAUAGCUAGCGGCUUUUUCUCACCCGUUAAGUGCUCAAACCGAAAAUGUGAGCAACAUGAAACAAUUGGAAUGAGAAAGGAAGCAGUUUUACCAGAGCCUGUGUCGGCAGAGACAAGCAAGUUUUUGCCACUCAAUGCAGCCGGUAUUGCUUGCAUCUGGACAGGUGUGGGCAUUUCAUAUCCUGCAGCCUCUAUAUUUUGGACAAGCUUUUGCGGAAGAUUACAUGAAGCAAACGACAAGAUAGGUCCUGGAGCUAUGUCUCCCUUCACAUGAAUAUCAAGUCUUUUUCUAAGCAAUUCAGUCUGACCAUCAGGCAAGACUGAAGUUCCGUAUUGGCCACCAGCAUCUCUAACGUAAAAGCACUCAUCAUUAGCAGGCAAUCGUUUAGGAGGACAUUGACUGACUGCCAAUUGAGAGUUGGUGACCCUGCUUAGUAAAGUCUGUUUACAUUCCAAACUGCAAAUAUCAUCGUCCGUCUGGUCACAUAUAUACUCACCAUAACGGCCGCAGAUCACGCACUUAGGCUCCCCUGGAAGCGGUUCUCUUUGGUCUCUGGAUCUUUCUUUAACUUCAUCUGCAGCACCAGAAAUUGAAUCAAAAAACUAAGUAGGCAGAAUGUGAUCUUCGCUCAUGAGAAGCAGCUAAAACAACUCCCAAUUGAAACUAAUACUAAAUGAAGAAACAACCUAUCAAGAAUUUAAAGGUUGGAUAACAAACAGCUGGAAACAAUAAUAGAGCAUUAACAAGACCUUAUGAUAGUGAUCCUAUCCUGCAACAAUGAUACUAAUUUUUCACAUACCAUUUACAUCAUCAGUUGAACUCUUACAUUGGCCAUCUUGGUUCUCGUGCUCCAUUCAAUUAGCUACUUGAUAAUCACAUGAACACUGCAACACCCAGAAUAGUGCAAUAGAAAAAGGAUUAGCAUAUUGGUAUUGAGUAGCACAGAACCAAAGGUAGGUUCACAAUCUUAGCUUGGUUAACCACAAGAAACUUGCAACAAAUCCAUAAACAACCCAAUAUAUACAACCAAAAACUUGCUUUGAGUACCAUAAUCAAAGACCAAAACUUUCUAGAAACAAAUGAAAUGGGUAAGUCUUACCUUCCUUGGUUCUGUUCUGCAAAACGAUGGACUCCCUUCUCCGCCUGCGGUGGUUGCCUGAGACCUUUUUUCUUUUGAUUCUAAACACUCCAAAACCAAACGCUUUUUUUUCCUUUUUAUUGUUUUUUCCUAAACGACAUGUCGUAGACGAAAACCCAUAUAUAGUUUGGACACGACACGUCGAUUAGCUUCAUCUCUUCAUUCUGGUUUAAACCCUUAAACCUCAAAACGUCGCCGUCGAGUGGCGCCAUUUACAGUUAGGUUUCCGAUUUUCAGAAAUUCAUAGCAGCCGACUACAGCGAACUCCAUCGAACAAAGUAAGCUUCACCCUUUUUUAACUUCUCUAUUUCAGCUUAGGGUUUCAAUUUCCAGACGCGAUGUGUUUCAAAGUUUGAAGCUUUUGGCUUAUUGCUGUGAUUGGGUUACUUGGUUUUUCUUUGAUAGCUGAAAUAAUAGUUUUCAUGUUUGGCUAAAUUGGUUAUUAAGGUAAUUUUAUAGUUGGGAAGCUUUUGGAAAUUGAGAAGUGGGAGGAGUGAUUAUGGUUGCUAUUGGGUCUGCAGCAUUGCCAUUGAGAAGGUUUGAAGCUUCAAUGGAGGACGAUAUGUCGUUUAAAAGUGGUAGGAAGAAAAUGGGCAAGAGUAGAAAGCCUGAGAAGCAAGGUCAAGGUCGGUCCUUUGAUGCUGGUGCUGGUAAAACUGUAUCAGGGCGGUGCUCGAAUGCGGCAACACAAACAGUUGUGAGGUACUACAUUGUAUGUGUUUUGGAGUGAUGGGUUUUGGGGAUGGUGGAGAGUUUGUCAAUUGGUGGAGUUUUAAUGGAUUUGAGGACUUUAUGCAGGAAACAGGUUGACCCCGAGACGGCAAAGUACUUUUCGGAGAUUGCUAAUCUUUUCGAGAGUGAGGGGAUUGAUAUUGAGGAGCGGUCGUCUUUAUGUAGUAAUGCGCUUGAGGAAACUAGGGGGAAGGAAAUGGAACUUGCCACGGACUAUAUCAUUAGUCACACUUUGCAGACUCUUGUCGAGGGAUGCGACGUCGACUGUCUUUGUGCUUUUCUCCGAGGCUGUGCAAAGAAUUUCCCAUUGAUUGCGAUGGAUAAGUCGGGAUCUCAUGUGGCUGAGUCUGCCAUCAAGGCUUUGUCUAGGCAUCUUCAGGAGAGCGACGCCUAUGCUGUUAUUGAGGACACUCUAAAUACAAUAUGCAAGGUAUCAGGUGUUUGUUUGGUUUUCUUAAUUACAAGACAAGUUUUGAGUUUCUGUAGGCUGUUAGUUUGUUUUCACUCUAACAGUCUAACGUAAUGUUCAGCAUCUAGUAGUAAAACCAUGAAAUGUUGCAUUCUGUGAAAUUUCACAGCCAACAUCUCUCUCUUGUCACUUUGAAAAUUUUGAAAUAUUUGAAAGAGAAAGGCAUCAAAUUAUAGUUUUCUGUAUCAGUGAUUUUUUUUUCUUUCCAAAAUUUUAAAAUAUAGCAUGUUUUUUGUCAGGUGAUUGUAAAGAAUCCUGUUGAUCUGAUGUGUGAUUGCUACGGAUCUCAUGUUUUGCGAAGUCUUCUCUCUCUUUUUAAAGGAGUGCCAUUUGAUUCUUCUGAUUUCCGAAUGAGGAAGUCAUCUUCUGCCUUACCAGAACGGUUUAAUUUCAAGGCACCUCGAUCAGAUGCAGAUGUUUCACAACAUCUUAUUCCGGGAUUCCCAGAUUUACUUAAGUUUCUUGUUUCCGGAAUGUUAAAAUGUGCUCAGAACAAUGUUAAAACCCUGCAAGUUGAUCAGUUCAGCAGUUUGGUUCUGCAGGCAUGGCUCAACACUUCACAUGCAAUUUUUUUUUUUCAUGAGUUUAUUUUCUUUUAGUUGUGGAUUGUUCACUGAUAAGUUGUUCAUAGAUAAUAUAUAAAAACUAGGUAAAAAUAGUAUAGCGUUGUUAACACUUUCGUUGAUAAUAUGAUAUCCAUAGCAUUUUAAUUGGUAACGUGUUGUAAACAACUUCAUAAGUCAGAUUCAUCUAUUAUCUCCAAUUGUCAUAUUUGAUUACCAUCGUUCUUAAAGCAUUCCACCUUAUUAUGUAAAUCAGACAAAUGCAAGACACCCUAGUCUGAUUGUGAGAAUCAAUUUUGCGCUCAAUGUUUCUUUCAGUUAAGUAUUUGUGGAAAUGAUUUUCUUUGAGUUUUGUGAGAUUGGUGACUUAUUAUGGUUUUUGGCAUUUCAAAACUUGAUCCAAUGCCUACAAUUUGUUUACAGUAUCACAUUCUUUUGGUUACUUUUUUCUUAAUAUUUUCCCUAUUUAAUUAUGUGGUCUGAAUCUUUUUUGAGGUGUGCUAAAACAUUCUGUUUGGCAGACUGCAUUGAAGAUGUUAGCAGGAGAUGAAGAAAUGCUGUUGCAAAUAAUUCCCAUUCUUACUGGAUGUACGAGGGAAGAUAUUGUAGAGGAAAACACCAUUGAACCAACUAUUGUGAGAGAUGUUUUAGGUUUGAUGAAAGAAACAGCAUUUAGCCAUUUAAUGGAGGUAAAAACUAUAUUCAUAAGGUUUGCUUAUGUAGCUAUAAACUAUACCAAACAAAGAACUUCAUGUUCAUCUAUUAAUUUUUACUAAAUACAGGCAUGCCUAAUUUGAUAUUAGAUUAGUCCCGUGCCAGGAAGGAAAUCAAUCUUGAUUAUGAAUUUCUGACGGAUUAAACCUAAUGCUAUUCCAAAAUUCUACUGUGACCAGAUGUAUAUGGUUGCGAUAUUUUUACAUUUUUUUCUUAUUCCUGAAAUUAAACUUCUUUUUGCACAUUAUCCAACACUUGCAGAUGUAUACGGUUUUACUAUAUUUUGUCAUUUUUCUGAAAUAAACCUAAUUCUUUGCUCUCAUCAUCCAACACAAAGGAUGAACUUCCUUGAGCUGUUGGUGAUUUUGGCUGAAGCUUUCUUUAGCUUGAACAAAAUGUGCAUAUGAUAUGAAAAAUUAAUUGAAUUGAUAGUUUGUAUUCCGGGGACCUUUUCUUCUUGAAGGAAGCUGUGGUUUGGUUUCAUUUGAUUUUAUAUUUUUAAAAUGCAGGUUGUUUUGGAAGUAGCUCCUGAUGUCUUGUACAAUGGAAUCUUCUUAAAGAUCUUCAGGAACUCGUUAUUUGACCUUUCAUCCCAUCAUUGUGGGAAUUUUGUCAUCCAAGCACUUAUUUCUCAUGCAAAGAAUCAUGAUCAAGUAUGUUAUGUCUCAACACUACUCUUGUUACUAUUAAGGUUUUUUUUUCUUGAAAAAAAAAAAAGCCUAUUAGUAGCAGUUAAAAUAACAUGUUCUGUUGGUUACUUGCAUUCAUUUUCCCACUACCAGCUUUCACAUACUUAUUUCACAAACGUACACACCUUUAAUUUAUAUUGCUUUUAUUGUUUAUAACACAUUUUGUCAAUUUGUCCAUUAGAUGGAGAUGAUCUGGGAGGAACUUGGUUCGAAUUUCAGGGAUCUGCUUAAAAUGGGAAGAUCUGGUGUUAUUGCUUCGCUUAUGGCUGCAAGUCAAAGGCUUCAUAGUUACGAACAGAAGGUUGAUUUUUUUUCAGAAGAAGAAGAUUAAUAAAUCAUUGAAUAGUUUUACUUUUCAUAAUUUCUUCAUUGUCACCUCAGCAUCUUUUUAGUUGAUAGGUAAGUAUUAUUUUUGCGGAUAAAUAAUAAUGGUUGGUACUUAUGUACAGGAGGUUUGUUGGAUUGUGUUGCAGAUCUUCAUUACAAUCAUAAUUGUGUUUCCAUUUCUUGUCUUACAGUGUUGUGAGGCUCUUGCUGCUGCAGUACAUUCAAGUAAUGAGUCUUCAACAUGCAUUGUUCCCCGAAUACUGUUUCUUGAUGGCUACUUCAACUGUGAAGAUAAGUCUAAUUGGAAUUGGCCAAGUGGUGUUAAAAUGAAUGUCAUGGGUUCUUUGAUACUGCAAGAAGUUUUUCGAUUUCAAAAUGUAUGUGACCUAUCUUAUAGUUUGAUUCUUAAACUAUAGUAUUAGAUGUUGUUGUGCAUAGUAGCUAUACCUUGACUUAUAAAUCUAUUAGCAUAUUGUGAUGCAUCUUUGAUUGUUCCUAUAAAGUUUUAUAUCGAAUCCCUCCAUUAAUUCCCUUCCGUUUUUAGUAUUGCCCUCUUUCAUCUUUGUAUGUUCUGUUUGGAUUCUGAUUUCAAGAUUUCAAGAUUUUAAACAUAAAGGCAGUUCUCAUUGCUUUUUCAUUUGAAUUUUCUUCAUUCAUAUUGUAGUUAAUAUGGAGGAAGUAAGUUGCGUAAUUAUGAUUCAAAUGUUUAUUGAACUGGAUGUUACAGUACUUUAGUAUUUGCUUAUACUGAUCUAUAAUAUAGUAUAUUUUAUUUUCCAGGAAUUUAUACAGCCUUUUGUAACAAGUAUUACAUCCAUCCCAACUGAUAAUGUCCUCGAAGCUGCUAAGGAUCCAGGAGGUGCUCGUGUUAUUGAAGCAUUUCUAAGUUCAAAUGCUUCUGCAAAAUUAAAACGCCGCUUAGUUAUGAGGUAUGCUGUUUAACUUAAUUGGUAGGUUGUACAUUUAGGUAGCUUUGACAGUAUGCAUCUGUCAGGAUGCCUUUGUGGUUCUUGGUACUUUACAGAUAAUUUGUUCAGAUUUUAUGCUGUAUACUUUUCAGGCUGCGUGGACAUUUUGGAGAGCUAGCAUUGCACUCAUCAGGUUCCUUCACUGUUGAAAAGUGUUUUACUACUGGUAACAUCUCACAGAGGGAAGCCAUAGUAUCUGAGUUGGUAGCUGUGCAGAGUGAGCUUUGGAAUACAAGGCAAGGUCCUCAUCUCAUGAGGAAACUAGAUGUUGAUGGGUAAGUAGUUCAUUCAAAUGACUGAGAUUUUGAUGUACUUCAACGUUAGUCAAGAUGCGUGUCAAUCCUUCUCUGUUAACAAUAGCCUGCCCAAUUCUAGAUUUUAUUGCCAUUUUACAAUUAAUUAUCUGGCUCAUAUUUCAGAAAAGGAGUAAAUACAGCACUCCCUUUUCUUUUCUUUUUUUGAGUUAAAUUUGGCAGUUUAUUUACUUGAUGCAUGUGUGAAUCACAGAUUUGCUGCUAGACCUGAGCAGUGGAGGUCCAGGCAAGAAUCAAAACAAUCAACUUUGAGAGACUUCUCUGCUACAUUUGGCUCUAGUGAGACCAAGGCAUCAAACAAUAUUGAGCCCGAGCAACCAAAGAAGAGUAGUUUUCUUUCUGAAGAUUAUAUGAAAAGAUCAAAAGUGGGAAAAGCAGUUGACCAUCACCAGGCAUCUCCUGCACCAUUUUUGAGUACAACAGGCUCCAAACGCAAGCCAAAGGAAAAAGAACAGAGCAACAAGAAGUUUGCUAGAGUCUCAGUAGACGAGGAUGUUUCUAAAGUGAAGAAUAAGUCGAAGAAGAAAAGGCAUGGUGAUGAUUCUUUUUCAAAAUCUUCCAAGAAGUUGAAAGCAUGAAGAUGUGGACGAUCUACUUCCGUCUCAUGUUUUGAAAUUUUUGUCUGUCCCGGUGAGGUAUAACUUAAUUAGAGACUGAGAAUACAUGGAAAAAGUUUCCCAAAAAAAAAAAGAAGCAAAAUAGAGAGAGAUGGGAAGUUUGGAUAUGAUCUGAGCAUCUCUUUUUUUGUUCUUGUUCGUGUUCUUAAAGUUGAUGUUGUAAAAUAAAGAUCUUCUAUAUAUACAUUCAAGCAUUACAUCGGAGAAAAUUUGAAAUUUACAUUCAAAACCAGAGCUUAAAACUUAACAAAAUUGUGAGUGCAUUACAGAUUGUGGUGUAAUGCCUUCUGGGAGGGUGAGAAGAAUGAAUGAGAAAUGAAAUUAGGUACUAUAGAGAUUCUGCUACUUCUUUCUGUACUUCUCUUUGAUCAGCGCCAUCUUAUGGAGGACCGUACCUGGGAAAAGAAAACAUGGCAAUUCAGGUCAAUUAUCGGAACCCUUCUAGUUGUGGAGAGCUAUGAAACAACAGGAAUGGUAGUUUACUUGUUCUGCGUGGGAUUUGAAGUACUAGGUGGGAUUCUUCGGAAGCUCGAGCUAGCCAGCUUAAAAGGUCUCUUACUGUUUGCCUGCAAAUCAUUGAGGGAUUCUGAAGAUGAUGAAGCUAGGUUUGCCGGGGCAGAUUUUAGCGGACGAGCUUGUGCUGUUGCUCCAUUCGGCCAGGUUGAUAGUACCAUAGAAAGUGCAAGAAUCAGUGCAGCAAGAACUGUAGACCAGGCCUUCAUAUCUGAUCUUUUCUGUAACUCUAUGGAUUCUGGUUUGUGAGUGAAGUGUGAUUGUGUUGAGAUAAGUUUGAAGCUUAUGAUUGGAGUGGUAGGGAAGAUAUUAUGCUGUAGUGGUUGAUAUAUACUUACAAGAGUCCUGUAACAAAAGAUAGUAAAGUCACAAUUGGGAUCUGAUAUCAGUGGGAUCAUGUGCUCAAACUUUGACUGUUACAUGCUGCAACUCUGACCUGCAGAUUUUGGUGAAAAUGAUGAUUUAUAUGUUUUUGCUGAGUAGGGGUCAUGUGAUUAGGCACGUGAUUUUAAUAUUAAUAGGAAUGGGGUUUUGGGAUGGAAGCUAAAAGGGUAAGUAUAAUAUUGGCAUGAGUGAUCAGGCAGUGGUACUGGGACUGGGGACAGUGUUGGAUCUUGCAGUGUAUGAUAAUGUGGAGUUGAUACAGGUGCUGUGGAUAUAACUAAACCAGUUGGCUGUAACAUAACCCUUGAACUGUCUCAGUCUGAAGCAUUUUUGAGCUAUGCAUGACUGACACUGUAGAAAGGUCAGUGAAAACCCAAGCAAAGCUGGCACUUUUUCUUGUACUCAUUUGAGAAGCUCUUGAUGAUCUCUUGGAUCUUGUGGUGCUGGCUGGCUGGUUGUCUUGUUUCUCUUGCUUCUACAAUUUUUUUCGGUUGCUAAUGACUUAUGAGAAUAUGCAAAGGUUUUAAACUGUUAAUUAACGCAGAAGCCCCCCUCCUCUCAAAAAACCCUAGCAAACUCCACCUUGUCCGGUGACAGCCUUGCCUUGGCAGCCGUUUGGGCUUCGCCGAUGCUUGGUUCGUUGUUAGACGGGAAUUCCUAUAUCCUUUUAGUCUCUGGCAGGAGUAUGGUUCAUUGACGAACGAAGGUUCCGGAUCUGUUGGUUUUGUGCAAGAUUGAGGGUGGUCAUUUGUUGUCUCUCCCUUUAGAUCUGUGGCGGCGGGGGUCCGAAGAUCGGGUCAAGCUAGCAAACUCUGGUUCAAUCGACGGUCGCGGGCUCGUGACACCUUGGCUAGGCUGGCCGGUUUUGGCGCGGUACGUUGGAGGGUUAGUGAUGGCUUGUGGAGGUUCUGCGCGGUUGUGGCUUGCCGGCUGAUAUCGGCGACGCUGGUGGUCGGAGACGACGGAGGUGAGUCACGAGGGUUACAGAUCAGGACUUUUGCCGUUUAUUGGGCUGGGCCUUUGCUGGAGGCUGCUUGGUUUCCAGAUGGGUUGGAGCUUGCCAUUUGGGCCUUAAUCCUUUCUAGCCCUUCGGGGAUUCUAGGGGUUUUCCACCCGUUCCAAUGUUCAAUAGGGGUUCGCGAGCCCUAAACAAGGACAAGGAGAUCUUGAUUUCCUUGAUCCUUAAUUUCCAAGGCAAGUGAUGGAAGACUAUUGCUUUUUAAUUCUCGAUUCUACUUAGUUGUAUACCAAUUAAGGUCCGCAGACGACUGAUAUUAUCGCUACAUGGGAGUUAGAUAAGAGUAUUUGGAAAUCUCUUGUAUUAGGUAUAAAAUGAGAGCAUUUUACAAUGAGGGUUCACUAUCAUUUUGUUAUUUCUUAUUACUAGUUAGACUUAUUGGUCGUGAGUAGGCAAAAUAAUGUAAGCGCCUUCUGGCCGCAGUAGACAAAUUAAUGGAAAUUGUCUAUUUUCUUUUUAAAAAAUUAAAAAAAAGAGUAUGCAUAUUUUCCAUCAAAGGUUUUUUUACUUGGCCAUUGUCAAUGAAAAAAACAAAAAUAAAACCUACUUUGCCAAUCAUAACUGUGGUAAGGAAAAAUAAAGAAGUAUGUGUUUUUGUACUGGUAGAGGGCACCUGCGAGUUAGAGUUGUCAUCCAGCAAGUAUCCAACUAUAGGGUUGGAAAAUUCUAAGGAUCAAUCAUUGGUACAUAUAUAGGUCCUUGGUGGCUUGGUGAAUAUGUCAAUUCUGAGUCACCUUCCUGCAUCUUUUCUUUCUAUGUCACAACUAGCUUUCUAAAAUGGAAAAGAUUGUUCAGGACUCGAGUCUGAAAUGUGAAAAUGCUGAGAAACCUGCUCAUGAAUUGGAACAUAAUGAUUACAUACGAUUACUUACCUUAUAUUGGAUUCCUAGACUGUAUACAGUCAGAUUAAUUAUCUAUCGUGUACAUGGUAUCUUCAACCAAAGGAACACAGAAUCACAACAGAGAGGAAAAGAGCUGGAGUCUAGAAAGGACGACUAAGCAAAGAGGAAGGAGGGUUAGGAACCCAGUCAGGAGGACUACAUUUCCUCCUAUAUAAUAAGCUAGAGCAAUAGCAUGAUCUGCCACUAAAUGAUUUUGGAGCAUGACUUUAGCACUUCCAUUGCAAAUUAAGUUGCAAGUGGAAGGCUUUUCCCAUGCCAUUAGGUAUAUAUUUGUAAGAUUUCCAUUCCAAAGUGGAAACAAUUAAAUCAUUGCAAACUAGAAAUUAGUAACUCUAACAUUACACUUUUUCAUCGAAAACACAGUAACUACACUUUUCAAAUACAUUUGAAUCAUUACGAAUAGGAAAUUAACAUAAAUUUUCGUUUCAAGGUGCAUGGAACUCAGCACUUGAUUGCAUAAGUAUAUUCCAAGACUCGUGUGUCCAGCAGCACGUACUCUUUGUUAUCGAGCUGUAUCGGACGUCAAGUUGAUCUCAAAUAGUCAAAUGUCAAUCCCUAAUGUCAUUUCCACCAUGCCAAUCCACCGGACAAUUCUUCAAACGAACCCAUCAUGUCGAUUACAAUUCUUCCAUACCAAUGCAUGCAAUCAAGCGAACCUACCAUAUAUGAGGCAACACCUAAGUGAAAGCACAAAUAUAUGAUGGCCCUAAUUGAACAAUUGUCAUUAGAUGUGGUUUCAACUUUCAAGCUUUUAGCUAGGAUUUAUUUUCAAAUUUAUUUGAUGACAUAUGUAAAGUUGGAUCAGUGUUGAAAUCGCAAUUCCUCAAGUUUUUAGGGUUCAUGCAAUUAAUAGGGCAUGUGUAUAAAUAAAACGAAAAACGGGUUUAGUAGCUCCGAUAUUAAUAGAUUCAUUUUGUCAUGGCAAAUGAUGCAGUGUUAAAUAACAUAGAAUUAUUAUUGUUUCUCGGUUUACAAACAGGAAAAAGAAAACAAUUUUAUUUCCACUGAACUGUUUUGACCUCUCAGUUUGUUUCGUGGAAAACAACCUCAGUGCUUCUUCUUUGUUUAUAGAUUAUAUAUAUGUUUCCUACUCUCAUUAUUCUCUUAGACAAUCAUGGUCUGAAUGACCUCCGCACUCCCCCCAACUCUAUUUAUACUCCAUUUUCUCUCCUCAUUCCUCCCCAAACCACCUAGCUUUCUCAUCAUCUAUAACUCAGGUUCAUCAACAAACAUAUAUAAAAACGGUUUCCUCCUCCUCCUCAUUUCUGAUCAUGUCCUUCUCAUCACUCAUCCUCUUUCUAUUCAUAAUGAUCAUCUCUCCCUGCAGCUUUGCCCAACAAUCUUUCGGGCCUCGCCAACUCCUCAGUACUCAUCCAGACUCGACCAUGCACGCUCCUCAUCUAAAUGUUGAACACCACCAGCAGGCUCUAGCUUCAGCUACCUAUGAUUUCUUAUCAGCUAUCCAACUUGUCUGUGGCAUCAUGUUGGUCCUUAUUCUCGUUCUCUCAGCCUUGCUCAAGUUGAUAUUAUUGCUCAAGGCCUCCCGCCACGGCGUCACUUCAGGCCCGCCGCUACCAAUCACCUAUCAGCAGUUCGUCAUGCAGCAAGCGCCCUUGGCUCCUCCCCAACCCCAUAAUGUCCUCACUCUCCUCAGUUUCACAGAACAAAUAUCCAUAGAUAUUGAUGAUGAUGUUGUUGAUCGUUGACGACGACGACCAUGAUGUUAGGAUUGAUCUCUAGCUAGUUAGCUUGCUUUAGACUACUGUAAUAUAUGUAAUAUGUAUGUAUGUAGCGGAUACAAAUUUACCGAAUACCUUUUGCUUGUCCACCCAUCAUCUAGAUUAAUGAGGUAUGUAUCUUCAAAUAAUUUGAGCUUUGUGCUUUUGGUGUGCUAUUUGAGAUCGUCUAGCUUACCGUAUACUUUUAUUACGGUGAGGAUAAAGAUAUAUUCUCAGGUUUUUGUUCAUUUUGUAGGCUCGUUUUUAGAAUAAUCGAGCGUACGUAAUUGGCUGCCAUGAGUGGUACUUGUCUGUGUUUUUUUUUUAGUUUGCUUAGUCUUUCAGAACUUGAUCCGAGCUUGGAAUUGAUGUAUGAGUCGUCCUAGCCUUACAGAGGCAAUAUAUAGUCACCUGCACAAUUCUGACUCUAAUUAGCUAGUUAUCAAUCUAUCAUAGUACGUGAUUGAUUGGAACCGGAUAUAUAUAGUGUCCUCUGUAUUCGACAUGUUGAACGCAACCAUAUGACACCAAGUCACCAAGUACUGUGCGUAUCCAUGCAUGCAUUAACCGUAGGAGGCUAGGACAUAUAUGAAAGUUUUGGUAAUUAAGAGAAACAAAACGGAUCAUAAUCCAUGCAACAUUAUGACUGUACUAGCCAACUUCCGAACCUAAACAUUUCUAAAUCUUUGAGAGCUAGCCGCUUGCUAAAUGAAGUCCAUGAUGAUAAUGCAACUUCGAUCUGGAGGGAAGAUGGGAAGUUCCACGAUCUCAAAGUAAAUCUCAAGAUCGAACAUAUAUAUAUAGUUGAUAUAUAGCUCCCCAACGGAUUUGAGUUGAUAGCAAUUAGCAUGAGGUGUUCCAACACAAAACUAGGUUAUCAACAGAAGACUACCUUAAUUUUGCUGGCGGUCAUAAAUGAUAUAUAAUAGUCUCGAGUCCAAUCAGGAGUCUGAACACGAGUCCUAGUAAAAUCUAUUUAACAAAAAAUGAGUAGAGCAAAUCUUUGCACCAGAUAUAUAUAUAUAUAUAUAUAUAUAUAUAUAUAUAUAUAUAUAUAUCCAAGUCUUCGAUCUAUCUUUACAUAUAUCCAAGAUAUGAUCUUCUACUAUCAUUUCCGUAACGAACAUCAGUAUCUCUGAUCUAUUCUCCUCGCCUAGUUGUGUUAGAGCAUACCGGCAUAUAUAGCAUCUAUUAUCAUUGUGUUUUUGCUUUGUGACUCAUACAAUAAGGUAGGGACGAGUUAAAGUAUAUAUUUCUCAGAGAAGCAACAUAUAUUUCUUGUAUUAUUUGAUCGGCCGCUUCCGUGAACCUACUUUAAUAUCAAGUUAAUUACCGAUCAACUUCAAAUGUAUCAUAUAAGAAGAUGUACAUUUUAGCCGACAAAUUAAUCUUAAAAUGUCGACAUGUAUGACAUCAUCAAGAUCGAUAUAUACACGAUAUUAUUUUGCACAUGCAAAGGUUAGAAAUCGAUCAACUGGCAACUUGCAUGCACAGGAGGUGAUCGGGUGGCCAACGUCAUCCCACUACUCCCAAACAUGUAGCACCAAGAUACCGUACCAACCACCAAGAUACAGGAGGUGAUCGGGUGGCCAAUGUGAUGAAAAGCGACUUUCGAUUUGGCCAUAUUAUAUGAUUACAUCAGAUAUACCGUACCAACACCAAAGGAGUUAGGUAGCUGGAUCGGAUUGGCCUGGCCUAGUAGGAGGGUGCUGCAAAAGAUCGAGUAGUGUACCAGCACGGUUCCACCGCCCCAUGCAUCAGCAUUUCUUUCUCUUUUUCUUUUUUGGUCGAACCCCAAAAGCAUUUCUGAGUAGCAGCAUAUAUAAAUAGAGUCGUCUUAUACAUGCACUUGUGAAAUAUAGCUUACACCUCAAGCUAUAUCAACAUAUAUGACUUCCACCUUCACCACAAGUACUGAAGUAUUUGUUUGGGAUCCGUUCUUUAGAAAUGCUUUUGUUACGAAACAUUUCCACCACAAGUGCUUUGUUUAGAAGUCCAAAAUUGUUAGAAGCAAUUUGCAAAAACUCUUUUGAUCGAUAAUCUCCCAAUUCAAGUGGAGUCAAGCUUGCUAGGACUAGCUGAUAUCAUAAGCUUGUUAGUUGAAAGUUCCCUAAAUGAAUGUCAGAUUAUGUUAUUAAUUUAGAGAGAAGGUACUGUUAUUAAAAAAACCAAAUGCGCGCAUGUCCCGAUUAACACUACAAUAUUGUAGCAAAUCCUUUUUAGUUCUACGCAAAUGCGCGCUCUUAGAAAAGAAACCAGCGUCGGCUAGCCACCCUCAAAAGGUACGCGCGGAGAGGGUGACAAGAGUAAUUCAGUUGGCCAACCAAAUCACGUGACAACCUCAAAGUCAUGAUGGUGACAUGCUCAAAUUAUUGACAACGAAGAUAAUGGUAAAUGCUAUAUAUAGUAUGUACCAAUUUCUCGUACAUCAACUAUAUCUAUCAUUUUUAAAACUCAUUUUGAGACGUACUGCAGUCGUAACACCUUGAUGAAGCCAUUUACCCAUGUAUAUGUAUAAUUAUAAAUCACAACCCCGUAACUUUUCCUAUGAUGCAGCAGAGAGAGAGAGAGAGAGAGAUUUAUAUUCCAUCACAUUGAUUUAUAGAGAGAGAUUUAAUUGGUUGGACAUGCAUGCUAGCUACUAAUUAAGUACUAGAAAUUUAACACUUCUAUAAAAGUGGAAUAUAAAGUUUAUUCCUAUGAUACCAACACUUCACAUUCCAAAAUGGAAACAUAUACUUUCAUUUCAAGCAUUGAAUCAGUAUUGCAAAGUGGAAUUUAGCACUUCAUAAGAAAAGUGACAUAGACUCGUCCAGCACGUACUCUUAUCAUCCAAAACACUUUAUGUAUUUAAUUAUAAAUAGAUCGAGCAUGGCGAGGUAGCAGAUUCUGUUUCAGUUCAUAUUAUAUCACCUCGAUCAUAGAUCAAAGUAUCAAACCGUGUUUUAGUCUUUACAGAUCGAAAGUGUUUUUGAUGGAACUGAAGACUCUUGACAAAAGUAGAAGCACCAAGAUAUAUGGUGAUUGAAUUCCUAACAAGAAGCCAAAGAUUCCAAGAGAUCUAUAUAUACACGAUAUUCUUUUGCAAAUGCAAAGGUUAGAAAUCAACGGGCAACUUGCAUGCACAGGAGGUGAUCGGGUGGGCAACGUCGUCCCACUACUCCCAAACAUGUAGCACAAGCAGCACAACCAUCAACCAUGAUCAUGAGACGUUACCAUAUAUCACCAAGAGCUAUCUUUAAUUUGAGCCUUUACAACAUUAAGCUUAUAUACAUUCUUUUUCAUUCAUUCUUUAAAUUUCGAUAUAUAUAUAUAUAUAUAUAUAUUUAUAUUAGUUACUUUGUUUGAACUUCGUGUUAUGCGAACGUCAUUUAUACUAAUGAAUCUAUCUAAGCAAGUAAGCAUUGAGUUCAAGCUUGUCAGAAGAGUGUGGACACUUUUAGAACAAGAUAAGGCACUGAGAAGUCUGUAAAUUUAUAAGGAUUAAACUACAUAAUGGAUGAUUUCAGUAUAGGAAUCAAAUUGUAUUUUGCAGAGGAAGUUUUGAAACAUUUCGUUUGAAAUUGAGCUAUUGAACAACGUAGACACAUGAAAGAGUAGUGAAGAAACAUGAAAGCAACAUACGAUUAAUUUGGCCAUAUUAUAAGAUUACUACCUUCCAAACCCCCACCCCCAACCAAAUCGUAAAAAUAGAGUCGGCCUAGUAGGAGGGUGCUGCAACAGAGUAGUGUACCGCCCCAUCAGCAUUUCUGAGUAGCAUAAAUAGAGUCGUCUUAUACACUUGUGAAAUAUAGCUUACACCUCAAGCUAUAUAUCAACAUAUAUGGCUUCCACCACCUAGCCUUCACCUUGCUCUUCCUAUUCAUGAUCAUCUCUCCCACCACCUUUGGCCAACAAUCUCUCAUGUCUCCGAUGCGCCGCCUACCUAGUACUAAACGAUCCAGUCCCAAGAGGCGCUUCUACCGGCCUAAUACACACCGCAUUGCCAAGAAAAAACAAAAUAAUCUACUUUGCCAAUCAAAACUUAAAUAAAGUUGAAGAAAGUAAUUUACUGGUAGAGGGCUGUCAUCUAACUAUAGGGUUAGAAAUUUCUAAUCAAUGCAAGAAAAUGAAACUGAUCUUGCAAUUCUUCUGGAGUAGCCUCAGUGUAAGUGUGUAUCAUUAUCGUACGUAACAAUAAGGUCACAAGGAUCAUCAUUUCCUCCUUGGUCGACCUUGGUGGCUUGGUGCAUAUGCCAACCUCAAUAACCUUCCUACAUCCUUUCUUUCUAUGUCACAACUAGCUUUCUAGCAUCCUUUCAAUUUUUUUUUUUGAAAGAAUUAUAAUGGCAGAUUUUUUUUAAUAAAAAAAAAAAACAGAAAAAAUCAGAGGAUAACUUUUCAUAUAGUUAGGGUAUCCAUUGCAUAUUAGAUACUGAAGAUCAUUUCGUUGCUUUAUUUAAUGGGAAAAUGCCUAUUUAGUACUAAUUGUAACCCUUUAUUGCCCAUUCCAAUGACAAUAUUUUCUAUAAGCCCAUUUGAAUGAAAAUAAAUUUUUUUUGUGCCAAAAUGGUCAAAUCUUUACUAAAGUCUUAACAAACUAUAUUAUUUUAAUAUUAUUUUACCCCCACCUUUUCAACAUAAAAAGACUUGGCCGGAACCUUGGACUCCGAUCACCGGCCGCCGGACUCCGGUCAUCGACCACGGGACUUCUGUCACCGGAAUUUCUCCGACCGCCGGACUCCGGUCACCAAAAUUUCCCCGACCGCCAAACUCCGGUCACCGGAAUUUCCCUAGUAACCAGUUACCGACCCCUAAUAAUCAGUUACUGACUAGUUACUGAUCGACCCCCAGUAACCAGUUACUGACACCCAAUAACUAGUUACUGACACCCAGUAACCAAUUAUUGACCCCCAGUAACUAGUUACCGACCUCUAAUAAUCGUGUUACUAACCCAUAAUAAUCAGUUACUGACCCCCAAUAAUAAGUUACUGACUCCUAAUAAUCGCUUACUGACCCCAGUAAUCGGUUACUUACCCCUAACAAUUGUAUUACCAACCCUUAAUAAUCAGUUACUGACCCGCAAUAAUCAAUUACUAACCUCUAGUAAUCAAUUACCGGCCCUAAUAAUUUGUUACUAAUCUCUAGUAAUCGAGUUACUGACCCUUAAGAAAUCGAGUUACUGACCACUACUAAUCAAGUUACAGACCACAAUAACCAUUUAAAAUAGAUUAUUGACUCCGAAUCAAAGAAAAGAGAAUAAGAAGAAGAGUACUUAACACUGAUAGAUCUAGUUUGAAAGCUACAAAGUGGAUUAAACUAAUUUUAGUGCCUGCAAAUCAAAUACAAGUUACAACAUCGUUUCAAUAUAUUACCACCGAAUCAAAGAAAAAAGACAUAACUGCAAUAAGGUAUGGGCUAAGGCGAAUUUGCACGAACCAAUUGUUUCUCACUAAGAUUCCAACCAAAACAGCAUACUGAGCAGACCAAAAAAAAUAAAUCAGAAACUACAUCUUCUAACUAGUUCUUAGAAAGAACACCAGACUAUAGAAACAACACUUCUCCAACCUAUAAACGGCAGCAAUCACAAUUCAGCUGGUACCAAUGGAGGCAGCAGCAGCUCCAGUGUUGGCAACAACAACAGCAGUACCAAUAGCAUUGGCAUGUGAUGACGAACCAGCACCAAACUUUCUUUUCCUGAUCGAGAAAAUACCAAGCAUGUUAUAUGCAAGAGCAGCAGAUAGAUAUAAUCCAGACAUAUAGAAGAGUGUCACAGAGACAAAAAGGAAUACCAAUAAUCAGGAGUUAUAUACAUAUAUGUUUCUUCCGCACCCGAAUGGACACCGAGUCGUUCUUCCCCGCCAUCGCGACUCGGUCGGUGACUCGGUAAACUCUAGGUCGAAACCCUAGAGAUCUGAAAUGGAGGAGAAAGGAANNNNNNNNNNNNNNNNNNNNUUUUUCUUAAGAAUCAUUGAAAUAGGCAUGAACCUAAGAUUUUCAUUCAUGUGGGCUUUGAUUUUUUUUUUUUUGUUGCAUUUGGGCAUUUUCCCUUAUUUAAAAUUACCAUAAUAAGAAAAUUAUAAUAUCAAAGAAAAUAUGAAUGUAUUUAAAAGAAAAAAGAAAAAAAAUUAAAACAAAGUAAUGAGAGAGAGAAAAAAAAUAUAAUACAACAUUUAAAAUAAAAGAAAUAACAGAGACACCAAAGUAAAAAAUGUGGUCUUUGGUUAGUAGAGCCUGCAACAGAGGAUAUUUUUUUGUCAUUUCGUGGCUGCACCGUAAUCAAUAACCUUUAAAUACCAUUAUUCAUAUCCUCUAGAGCAAAAGAUACACAAAUGAAACAAUGUCCAAUGAGCCCUAUGCUAGUAGUGAACAAUAUAAGCAGGUCGAAUCAAAACGGAAAAGGAUAAGAUCGACAUAGGGAUAAAAAGAGAGCCAAAAUAGGAUAGUUUGUUUAUAAUCCUGCAUAAUCUCAAACAUUGUUCAGUUUGAAAUGUGACAAUGCUGAGAAAUCUGAACAUAAUUAAUGAACAUGUAAAUUUAAAUCGCCUCUUUGAACUCUUUCUCUUAUAAAAUGGAACUCGAUAUGUAUUCAAAUGCUUGAUUGUAUACGUAAAUUUGAAGUUCACUACUUGAAACAAGUCCACAUAAGUUGUGGAAUGCUGCUUGAGAAGAAACAUAUGCAAUCACAAUUCACAGAAUAAAUACCUUGUCUAGGAGUCUAGGACACAUCUAGCGAGAACCUCAAGUAUUCUAGUUUGUCGAAGCCCCCUUUUGAGUACUUUAAUUAUUUAUUGGCACAUCUCAAUGAUCUCAUUACUCACCUGACGGUCGAAUCCCACCAACCCGGCGAGGAGAUCCCUAAAUCGAUGAUUGGUACGUAUUAGCCUUAACCUGAAACAAAGAAAGAAACAAGUCAAAGAUCGAAAUCAAAUGCGCAUCAUUCCCUCCAGUUACUAAUUAACCUAGCUAGCUUGGAUUGCGAAGGACAAAACGACAGUAUAGAGAACUAUUUAAGGAGAGGGCAAUUUUCGUACUACAUUAUAAACAUGAGACUGAUGAGAGGCCAAGCUAGCUUUUUUGUUUGUUUGUUUCGCUUUCUUUCUUUCUCGGAGCUGUCAACUUGGGGCAAAGGUUCUGCAACCUUUGUUCUUCUUGCUAGCGUUUAGCUCCAGUUUCUUUUUCCUGAUAAGAAAUCUAUAUCUAUUGUCAGCCAUAUCCAUGCAAAAUUUUCUGGUGAAAAGUUUAUAAUUUCGGUGAGUAAUGUUAGGUGAACCACCUAGAGCCCAUCUUAGAUGACACAUAGUUUACUGUAACACCCUGACUCAGAUUAAUGGACGAUAAAUCCGAGAUUAGGGUGUCACGAAAUGGUUUAGAAACAUCUAUUAGGUCUUACCGCGAUUGAGAAGAUCAAAUACUGUAGUUGGAUUUUCAUGAGAUUUAAACACAACCCCAAAAGACAUAAACCCAGAUGAAAUCAUAAAUACCCGAAACGAGGAGCUGGAGCUUCCAGCCUUCCCACCCGGCCCCUCUCCCCUCCUUCCGAUCCCUUUUCUGCCUAAAAAGAUCGAGAAAGUUGGUGGAGGGUGAUAAGAUCAAGGAGGUCGUUGUCUUCCUCUAACUCCUUCUCAGAUAAGAAAAGAAAAUCGGAGAAAGCAAGAGAGAUAGAGAGAGAGACCGAGAGAGUUAUAGAGAGGAAGAGAGUGUCCCCCAAGGAACUUCCCCUUCCCUCCCUUAAUCUCUUGCUAAGGUCGGUGGUCUAUGACGGUUUGACACCGAUCCUUCUAGACCUCCCCCGAUAUUUCUCUAUUUUGUUAUCUAUAUUUAUAUCCAAAACUGUCUAUAAUAUGUAUUUAUUGUCUCAUAUAUACUCAAAUUACGGUAUUAUAGCUAAAAUACGGGUUAUCGCGAUAUUAAAAUUAUCCUUCAUAAUCUCAAGACUUUGGAAAGUCACGAUAUAUAGUCAAGAAUUUAGAAAAUUCUCACAAACCUGCCAUCAUUUUACCUCGUCACAGGAAUUUAAGUGACAUUUCAAGCAUUCUCAUUAUUCACCGAUUUCAAAAGUAUUUCUUACAAACCCUCACUUAAAUUGUGUCGAUAUAGAUUUUACCAAAUCCUCAAACUAUACGUGUGUGUGUGUAUAUAUAUAACUUACCUUAUGAACCGUCAGAGUAUUACAAACUCACCCCCUUAAAAAAUUUCGUCCUCGAAAUUUAUAAUAGUCCUUGGUGUGUGAUAUCUGGUACGUACUCAAGACGUUUCCCCUUGGUGAGCAAUCACCUUGGCACAUAACUAUAGUAUCUCAAGGUACUUCAGAUAUCAAAUAGUUCUGGAUAGUAUACAUGUAUCCUGCUUCCGUUGUGUUCACAUCCACUUUAAUUCAUUCUUGUACGACUUAAGUUACUGGCAAUUUAUUUACAACAUUCACAGCCACCAUUUUCUUUUAUGUUAGAUUUUCAAAAUUAUUUACCAUACUAAUUUUCUAAUCCGAUAUAGAAAUACUAUCAAGAAAUGAGUGCUUACUUAUUCUAGAGAGAGACAGCUAGCUGAACCAUUUUGCUUGCAUUUUCUUUUAAUUCGUACAAUGACAUCGCAUUAUAAUCGAAUUGAGUUCUCUCUAGAUUUUAUAUCUCUGUUUGUGAAUAUAUGCUUCUUUCAAAUUGUGAAACUUACUGCUGCUCAGACCAACUGUCUCACAAUCCACAAUGACAAAACCAAGAACCAACUCAAGUGUACAAAAUCCUGCAACACCAUAAAGUAAACGAAUCUGACCCCAUCUGGUCUUUUUUUUAUUUUUUAUUUUUAUUUUUAUAACUAUUUGCAAAUCCAUCUAUACCCUUUUUUCCAAUCACAGAGACAAAAAGUUGAAACCUUGUCUGCAAUUAAAUCAACUCAGCCAAAAUUUUCUUUUUUACCUUUUCAUCAACCAGGUCUUUCUUUGAAUUGUAGCAGAUUAGCUACUUUCCUUGAAAUUUAUAAUAGGUCGAUCAAUAAAAACAUAUAUGAUGCACGGUAUAUGAACAAGUAAUAAAUUUGCACAUGUUCACGCAAAUGAGAAUCUCUUCCACAUUUUCAUGAUUGUGUCAUGAAGAUCCCCGCACUCGGCGGUAAAAUCCGGCACUCGGCCGUAAUCCCCACACUCGGAGGUAAACCCCGCAUUCAGCGGUAAAAUCCAGCACUCGGCCAUAAAACCCCGCACUCGGCGGUAAACCCCACACUGGGCAGUAAAAUCCGACACUCAGUAGUCGAACCCGGCAUUGGCGGUAAACCCGUCACUCGAGCGGUAAAACCCGGCACUCGGCCGUAACCAGUGUGGUAACCUUACGCCCCCCAGGCAAGGCGUGGUCACACCCACACUAAACCCCACACUCGGCGGUAAACCCAGUACGGUAUCCUAUGCCCCCGGGGCAAGACGUGGUCGCACUCGUACUGUAAACCCAGCAUAUAGCUGUCCCAGCAUAAAGCUGUAAACUGAAUAUCACCACCACACGAAAUGACAAAAGGUAAUAACCGCCAAUAGCCGUCACCCUGCAUGAAGCGAUAUAAGCAUUAACUGUCAACAUCAUCAAAUGCAAACCCACCAUGCAGUAAAGAGAAAUCACCUAAGGACACAAGCACUUACACAGUGCAUUAAUUUGAUUAGACAAAUAAAUGCAAAAGGCAACACCAUCGACUUAAGAAAUAUGUUGCUCAAACAGUUGUACACGAAUAACUGAACCUCAUCAUAGUAACUUUAACCAUGGAUACUGGCUGUACACUAACAACCACACCAACUGCAGGACAAUUGUUCACCUGAAGUGAGAUCAAUCAGUGAUCAAAUCAAAGGUAAGUCCUUUCUAUAGCUCUCAGCGACCACAACAUAAUAACAUAUAACAAUGGGCAGAAGUAUACUACGUCAUACCAGAUUGAUAUCCAUGAUAUUUACCAACUCAAUCAUGACAGAAGUUGUACAGCUGAAUAAAUUCAAGGACAAGGAAAGAAGUAUGUGCAAUUAUAAAACACAAACAUACCAGUAGAGAUCUAUGACCAGGUUAUCUUACCUGCUGUCCAGAGACGUGUCCUUCACAGAUCAAAGUAAGUAUAUACAUAUCCACGAAUUUAAAAUAUAUGAAGCAGUUUAUUUUCCUUGCCAGUGGAUAAAAAUCAAUGCAAGCAACACAGUAUAUGUAAUAUCCCACAUUGGCCAAACAGAGAGGGGUUAUAUGCUGUAUAUGUACAUGCCCACCUCCAAUCUAACACGAGGCCUUUUGGUGGCUCAGCGGCUUCGGAGGGGAUGGGUACUCCGAGGUUAAGCAUGUCGAUGCGAGAGCAAUCCCAGGAUGAGUGACCUACUGGGAAGUUGCUCCUGAGCUGCCGGAAACAAAACCGUGAGGGCCGGUGGGCCUAAAGCGGACAGUAUCGUGUUACGACGGAGCGGGUCCUGGGAUGUGACAAAUGGUAUCAGAGCCACUCUGCCGUGUGGUGCGAGUGUGCCGACGAGGACGUCGGACUCCCAAGGGGGGUGGAUUGUAAUAUCCCACAUCGGCCAAACGGAGAGGGGUUAUGUGCUGUAUAUGUACAUGCCCACCUCCAAUCUAACACGAGGCCUUUUGGUGGCUCAGCGGCUUCGGAGGGGAUGGGUACUCCGAGGUUAAGCAUGUCGAUGCGAGAGCAAUCCCAGGAUGGGUGACCUACUGGGAAGUUGCUCCUGAGCUGCCGGAAACAAAACCGUGAGGGCCAGUGGGCCCAAAGCGGACAAUAUCGUGUUACGGCGGAGCGGGUCCUGGGAUGUGACAAAUUGGUCCCGGGAUGUGACAAAUGGUAUCAGAGCCACAUGCACAUGCCCACCACCAACCUAAUACGAGGCCUUUUGGUGGCUCAGCGGCUUCGGAGGGGAUGGGUACUCCGAGGUUAAGCAUGUUGAUGCUAGAGCAAUCCCAGGAUGGGUGACCUACUGGGAAGCUGCUCCUGAGCUGCCGGAAACAAAACCGUGAGGGCCGGUGGGCCCAAAGCGGACAAUAUCGUGUUACGGCGGAGCGGGUCCCGGGAUGUGACAGUAUAUGCAUGUCCUUUUAUUCAAGUAUCUAACAAUGAAGCUACUGCUUGAUAAUACCUUGUCAUCAAGCAUGUAACAUUUGAUAGCAACACACACACACACACACACACCCCCACACAUCUCAAGUCUGCAGACCACAGGUGCCAAAAUAACCAAAUUCUCAAAAAGUGAAUAGCAGGAUACUCGCAUGAUAUCUAAAAUUAUGUUCCAAACAAGCAGGACACCACCUUAAAGCUUAUUAAACAAUAUCUCACUGUGUUAUCAUGUACACUGUAAUUUUGCCUUGAAGAAAUCUUGAAGAUGCACGCAUGUAAAAACUUACCUCAAAGGCAGCCCAUAUGUAGCAUCAUAUAUGUGUCCAUAUCCUUCAUCUCUGUGAAACCAGUCUCCUCGUCUUUCACCUUCCUUUCCAUUUCAACUUAAUCUCUGUGAAAGAAACUUCACAUGACUAGAAUCCAUGAGUAGAACAAAUAUAUAUAACAUAUAUGAGUAGAAACCAUGUCUACAUGAUUCAUUUAAUUACUACUAGCCUUGAUGCCCGCGCUUCGCGCGUGCAAAAGGACAUCCAUUCAAAAACUUAUCGUUUGAAUCAAAAAUCAAACAAUCAACUAUUGGUAGUAGAGUUCAAGUCCUUAAUCAAAACCCAGAAACACAAAGGUCUAAGACAAAUAAAAAUAGGUAAAGAGUAGUCCAGAGGAUUCGUCAAAACUAUGUUGACAAAGUUUUAAUUUGAUUCAUCAUAGCAAAUUUCAUCACAGUAGCUACAGCUGUAUUGAUGACCGAGUGAUGAUAAGUGAGCAAAUCCCCUCUCAAUAUUGCUUUCUCAUUACGUGCUUUUAUUGGUCUUCAACAAAAGAGUAGUUAGAAGGAAAAGACAUGUAGAUUGGAUGCAAACAUCGAUAUUAACCAAAACACUGACAAAAAAAACUCGAAGAACCAAUUUCAUUCACUGAUUUCAACACAAACAACAUAUAUUGCAUAACACACAAAUCUCAUCAGCAAGUGAAAAUCGGUUCCCUCCUCAAUAAGUAUGCCAUUAGAAAUCACAUAACUAAAGUAAGGUUUGGCAAGUAAUUGUAUGUAGCAGUAAUAGUUACACCCAAUCACACAAAACACAAAAAGAUUAGCUAUACACAUGAAAACCAACUAAACAGAUUAGCUAUGUAACAUCCACAGAAAUGGAACACAACACACACAAUAACCUACAAACCCAACCUAAAUUCCAAACCACCCGCAGAUACAUCCACAUACACACACUCAUAUGCACCACCUGGAAUUGCAUGCACUGAAAUUUAAAACUCAAAUCGCACUCAAGAUUCAAUCUUACCUAAAGCUUAAUCUCUCAGAAACGUCUAAUUACUCGAUCGGAUCCUCCGAUUUCAACUUCUUUCCUUUCUUCCUUUGCACUCUUCGCUCCGUGUGCACCUUUCAAAUAAGCCGAGCUCGCCCGACAACGAAGAGAAGUAAAAUUUCAGCCUCAUACUGUAUUUCCGCCACCUUUAGUGAUCUUUCACAUAAGACAAAUUGAUGGCUACUCAGCACAUACAUGAGCAUGUUGUUUGCAAGAGUCAGCUAAAUCCCAAUUAGGUAGUAUUUCUCUAGUUCAGCAAUUAUUCAAAAAAGUUUAAACCUAUGAAACAAAUUAAUUGAAAUGGUCAGAUAAUAUUGAUGCAACAGUAUACUCUACAUACUUCAUUGAUACUGAUUUCCAUUGAUGCAACAGUACAUAUUUGUAUAAUCCAAAUUUAUUAAGCUGACAAUACAACAAUUGGAAUUAUGAAUUGAAAGAGGGUGGCACUGAUGUCUAUUGUCUUACUCUUCUUCCUCUUCUUUCUCUGUGUCUCUCAGUGAAAAACAAAACAGAAGGAUUAAACCGAAACAGGUGGCAGCGGUAGAGAACGACAACACAGAAGGACAGAACUGAAAUAACGAUGCAAAUAGAGGGGCAUGACUCAUAAGGGUUGGGUACUGUUCCGUGAACAGUANNNNNNNNNNNNNNNNNNNNAUAUAUAUAUAUAUAUAUAUAUAUAUAUAUAUAUAUAUAUAACUUACCUUAUGAACCGUCAGAGUAUUACAUUUACACAUUGUGUAAAGCUACAUAAUUUGCUCUCACACUUGAAGUAAUAAAGUGCAAUAUAAAUAAAUUUAUUUUAUCAAGUAUACAAUUCAAGUUUCUAAGCUAGCAAACUGAAGAUAUGAAUCGAAAGAGUAAUGCUAGGUGAACCACCUAGAGCCUACCUUAGGUGGCAGUUGACGUGGCUUAGCCACAUCAUUAAUCAUUAAAGUAUAAUUUUUGUCUUAAUUAUGAAAAUUUCUUUCAAUAAAAAAUAAUAAUGAAAAUUUCUUCUAAUGUUUUUACUUUCUUGAAUUUAUCUUUUAGAUCCUAUUUUUGUGGCUUUCUUAUCUAAUUUGUAGCUCUCACGUCCCCCUUCAAUUGAAUGAAAUCUUUUCAUUUUGAUCGAUUACGGUUUCUGGCAAUCAUAUUUAACAAAAGCUUUACCCGUUCUAAUCUUUUCAACAUGUGUAUUCCCUGUUUUCCAAUUACACUUGCUUCAAUCUUAGGCUUCUUCCUUUUCAUUAUUGAAGCUAGUUUUGGGAAGUGGAAUUGACAACCAAAUUUAAUAUGUUUCAAUCGUAAGUAUAAUCUAUGGAACAUUGAAGCAUAGUUUAUAAAUGGUGAUUUCAUACUCAAUACAUGAAAGCAUAAAUCAAAUCAACUCCUCCCAAAAUUCCACACAAUUUUAAUUCGUGACUUCAUAAAAGCACAUAUGAAUGGUCUGAUGAGGACGUCAAGCUAUCAGAUGAAAGAAAAAAAAAAGAGAGAUAAUAUCAAGAUAGAAAGCAUAUGAAUGGAGUGUGAAGAUUUUGAAUUGCUACAGCAAAUUAUAUAUACAUCAAAUCCACUCCUAAACCCUAACUUUAAAGAAGUUAUUUGUGAUUUCGUUAGGUGACUAGAAUCAGCAGAGGUUUUGUCAACAUUUCGUAAUAAAGGAUGAAAGGAAUGAUGAAGGGAGACACUAAAGAGUGAAGACGUCGCGCAAAUUAAUCGAUCCUAAAGAGAAAAUAUGUUCAAGUGUUUGCAGAUCUGCAAACACUUGAACCCUAUUUUCUCUUUAUGAUCGAUUAAUUUACGCGACGUCUUCACUCUUCAGCGUCUCCCCUCAUCAUUCCUUUCAUCCUUUAUUAUGAGCUGUUGACAAAACCUUUGCUGAUUCUAGUCACCUAACGAAAUCACAAAUAACUUCUUUAAAGUUAGGGUUUAGGAGUGGAUUUGAUGUAUACAGAAUUUGCUGUAGCAAUUCAAAAUCUUCACACUCCAUUCAUAUGCUUUCUAUCUUGAUAUUAUCUCUUCUUCUUUUUUUCUUUCAUCUGAUAACUUGACGUCUUCAUUAGGGACUUGGCUUCUCUGCUUGGAAAAAUAUUGCUCAGAUCUGCUUGGAUUUGUACUAGAGCCCGACAUGUCAUCUCGCCAAGAUCUGAUGGCUGAAAUGAAAAAUCGUAGGAAACUCAACUUUACAAAGUUAUAGCGUAUCCUCUACCUUCUACUUUCUACCUUCAUCCUCUCUCUCUCUCUCUCUCUCNCNCUCUCUCUCUCUCUCUCUCUCUACUCUCUCUACUCUCUCUCUCUCUCUCUCUCUCUCUCUCUCUCUCUCUCUCUCUCUCUCUCUCUCUCUCUCUCUCUCUCUCUCACACACACAUCAAUUUGGCUUAUGAGCCGAAACUCCAUGACGGGUGGCUCCCCCAUUCCAGACCCAACGUCGGCCAACUCGUUCUUAUCUGGAUCCGCAUCAAAUACAUAUUGAAACUCGAUUUUUCGUCGUCGGAAUCUGAUUUGUCGCCGCCUCGCCGGUAGUAACCUAGAUUUCUCUUUCUCUAUCUAUUCAUUUGGUAACCCGAUCACAACUUCUUCACUUCUUUUUUUUCUGAUGGGUUGCCUUACCAAUUUGGCAAUUUAGCGUUUUUGUUCAGCAUCAGUGUCUUUUAUGUUUAAGAAUGAUGUCAUGAGUCAUGGCUGCUGGGUGCGUCACUUUCACAGUGAGAAGGGGAGAAAGAACGGAAGGAAAGGGAGGAAGGAGACAAUAUAGUGCUUCAAGUCCACCAAUGUGCAUUGGGAACUUUUAUUGUUAGACAUUAGAUUCAUUGGUGCUGAUGUGGCAGCCUAAUAGAAAAUCCAAGCAGAUCCAAGCAAAUAACUUCCCAAGCAAAGAAGCCAAGUCCCUUCAUCAGACCAUUUAGACGUGCUUUUAUGAAGUCACGAAUUAAAAUUGUGUGGAUUUUUGGGACGAGUUGAUUUGAUUUAUGCUUUCAUGUACUGAGUAUGAAAUCACCAUUUGUAAACUAUGCUUCAAUGUUCCAUAGAUUAUACUUACGAUUGAAACAUAUUAAAUUUGGUUGUCAAUUCCACUUCCCAAAACUUCAAUAAUGAAAAGGAAGAAGCCUAAGAUUGAAGCAAGUGUAAUUGGAAAACAGGGAAUACACAUGUUGCAAAUGAAGUGCAUUUGAAAAGAUUAGAGCGGGUAAAGCUUUUGUUAAAUAUGAUUGCUAGAAACCGUAAUCGAUCAAAAUGAAAAGAUUUCAUUCAAUUGAAGGGGGACGUGAGAGCUACAAAUUAGAUCAGAAAACCACAAAAAUAGGAUCUAAAAGAUAAAUUCAAGAAAGUAAAAACAUUAGAAGAAAUUUUCAUUAUUAUUUUUUUUAUUGAAAGAAAUUUUCAUAAUUAAGACAAAAAUUAUACUUUAAUGAUUAAUGAUAUGGCUAAGCCACAUCAACUGCCACCUAAGGUGGGCUCUAGGUGGUUCACCUAGCAUUACUCUUUCGAUUCAUAUCUUCAGUUUGCUAGCUUGGAAACUUGAAUUGUAUACUUGAUAAAAUAAAUUUAUUUAUAUUGCACUUUAUUACUUCGAGUGUGAGAGUAAAUUAUGUAGCUUUACACAAUGUGUAAACUAUGUGUCACCUUUUUGACUGUGUGAACUACAAUGUCAUUUUUUGAAUACAAGAAAUGCAAGUUUUAAGACUUCAUUUUUUAAUGUUGUUCAAGUUUUAAUUUUUUUGUGAACUAUCAAAUUAUAAAGCAACAACAAAAUGUAUGUUGUUGUUGUUGUAAAUAUUAUGUCUUUAGAAUAUUCACUCUACCCUUUUUUUGACUGCAUAAGCUCUACCAUUAUAUAUAAAUGGGUCUAAUGAGAAUGUAUAAUACACAUCUCUACAAUUCCUCCUAUUCAUCUCUCUAUCUUCUCAAUCUCUCACUGACGCAAUUUUUUAAUUUAUAACACGUUAUCAGCACGUUCGCUCUUAUUUUCUACAAAAUCCAUGAUGAUCGACAUGCCUUAUAAUGCAACAUAGUUGUCUAUUACCAAAGCUAACUAUCUAUGAGUUCAUCUUAUUUGUUUAUGUUAUCGUAUUACUUAAUUGUUCCAUAUGAUCAUACAUUUGUUAUAUAAUUGUUGUGUGUUUUUAUUUAUAUAUGACUUUUUGAACUACGUGUUCCAAUAAGUCAAGACUCGAGUCCAUUGACCUAGUAGUAUUAAGCUUAUGGCCCUAUAGACAUCAUAUAAAUGUUUUUCUCGUGUUUUCCUUUCUUUGUAGAAGAUGACUCAUUUGACGAAAUUAACUUUGACGCUCUUGACAUUUCUGGCAAGAAGUUGAGUUGGGUCCUUGAUGCUGAAAUUCACCUCACAGCUAACAAAUAAACCUUGGAGAUACCAUCGUUUUGGGCAAUAAGGCAUUUGGGCAAGAUCAUGCGAAUUCUCUUGCAUCAGCAUCUUGACAAGAGUUUGAAAGACGAUUAUCUAACAGUGAAAGACCCGCUCGAGCUUUGGUAAGCAUUGGCUGAUCGAUUUGCCCACCAGAAAACCAUUGUUCUACCAAGAGCAGGAUAUGAAUGGACUCAUUUACGCCUUCAAAAUUUUAGCUUUGUCACUGAUUUCAAUUCUGCUAUUCAUUGUAUUACCUCCCAACUAAAAUUGUGUGGAUAUGUCAGUGAAGACAGUAAGCCUGAAAAGACUUUUUUGACUUUUCAAUUUUUCGUGUCACAAACUUGGUUUUGCAACAACAUUAUCUAGAGCGAGGAUUCAAGAAGUAUUCUGACCUCAUUUCAUGCAUGUUAGUGGCAAAGGAAAACAAUGAGCUCCUAAUGGAAAACCACCAUUCUCGUCCUACUUGGUCUCACCCCAUACUUAAGGUGAAUGCUAUUGCUCCUGGUGGUGGUGGUGGCGAUAAACAUGGCAAUAAACAUAACAAUACUAGGGCUCGUGGUAAGGGAAAUGACCGCCAACGACCAAAUGUUCAAGGUCGAAGUGGUUCCAACCAACAGUUUGGUAAAAGGAACAAUGCCAAGAAUCAGAAAGGUAAAAACCAUAUGGUCAAAGCACCUAAGAACAAUGAAAGUGUUUGCACUAGAUGUGGCUGCAACACCGACUUUUGAUGCACUUGUCGCAUACCUGAUUAUCUUGUGGCACUUUACCAAGCCUCACUUAAAGGCAAUAAAGCUGAGGGAUGUGUUUUUAGGGGUACGUUGUGUUCCAUCUUUGGCGGUAGUGUGAGGAGCAUCUCACACUGCUCCAUAGGUGCGAUGGUUCAUCAGGCCGUGGAGUUUGGUGACGCCACUUGAAAAGAUUGCGUCUUGGCCAUGGAUCGUGGAGGCUUUGACAACAUCAAAGUGAGUGAUGGGUUGCUUCUGGGCCGAACUUUUUUGGGCCUGAGCUUUUAGCCCAAGUUUUGGAUGUUAGGGCUUGAGUUUGAUGUGCCCUUAUGGGGUGUAGGGCUUGGUUUUAAGCUUUGAGCUAUUAGGCCUUUGGUUCAUAUGGUAGGUGUUCCUGAGGAAUCUUUAUCUACAUAGGGUGGUUUUAAAAGUGUUAUGAACAAAUUAGGGUGCGAGCUUAAGUAGAAAUAUGACUAAUUCGAGAGAAACAAGGAGAAUUUGGGCCAGAUAGGAAAAUAGAAUGUCGUAAAGCCCAAAGGCUACGCUUGAUGGGCUAGGCCCAAAUCUGAUCGUAACUCGUAGUUUGUCACCUAUGUUGCACGGACAAUUCUGAGGGCGGAGUGUCGGAGUGUCCGACACGUGCCACAUGGCAUGUCAGAAAAUGUUGACUUGUCCACCAUGGCCCUCAACAUUUUCCGACACGCUUCGACAUUUUGACCGACACGCCAUGUCAUCAUCCGACACGCCACAUCAACAAUUUUAAUUAAAAAAAAAACAUAAACCUAAAAGAAAAACUAUCACAACCUCUAAGUAGCAAAAAUCACAGCCUCUAAGUAGCAAAAAAAACAAAACAAAAUAGAAUAAUAAACAUAGCUGAUAUAUCCCAUUAUCCCUCCCAACCAAUGUUUAAACUCUAAUAGUCUGAUCUAGUUUGUAAAUUACAACUUAUUCUCACUUUUCCACUCUUCCCCUUUUCCUUUAUCUCCAUUUUUCACUUCAAAUUAGUCACCGAGUUUCCUAAUCUCCAUUCAAUUGCAGCACCUCUUUGCUAAUAACCGCAUAUGGUCUUGAACUCAUGUUUUAAAUAUUUUUUUAUAUAUUAAAAUACAUAAAUGUAUUAAUUAUUUCCUGUGUCCAUGCCGUGUCAGAUCUUAGAUUUUUUUGAUUUACCGUGUUGACAUGUCACGCCGUGUCAAUGUUCGUGUCCUUGCAACAUAGUUUGUCACAAAUUAGCCGAGCAUGUUGCCUAAUCACAUUUGUGAAUGGAUCUCAACAACACCAUUUGCUAAAAUGCAUGAAAUGAACCGGGUUAACAAGACUCAAUUCCUAAUAAAUAUUUUUCAGUAUUAUAAAUACAUUGGCCUGGAUACGCAAUUCUCCAAAAAACCCAUUUCCAAGAUUUCAAGGCUCCAGAACCAUCUCUCUCCAAUCAAUCUUGUUCACCAUGCCACCAACCAUGAACAGCCGAUCCAACUUCAACAAGGCGCUCAGGAGGUCGGGGAGCAACGCUCGAGAUUAGCACCGACCGCCUUAUCAUUGUCACCUCGUACAACGACGAGGGAUUCGUUGAAGGCAGCAAUGGCGUACCCACACACGGGUUACGGUGGGCUACAACCCACCUCAAAUAUAAUGAAAACAUUAAUUUGUAGCAAAAUUAUAGUUUAAUAAGUUAAAGUUUAAAAACUAGCCCACCCCAAAUUUUCAUACUUAGCCCAUAGUAUUAAACUUAGUUUUUUAAACAUAGAUGAAUUAUUUGGUUUUUUUGAACUAUUUUUUCAUUAUGCCUAAAAAACUUACUCUUUUAUAAAAUUAGCCAAAAAAGAUAGUAUUUGGAUAUUUGUGUAUAUGAGUGGGUCAUAUAUAUUUUUUAUUUUUUAUUUUAGUUCUCAAUUGCUUAAUUCCUCAAUCAAUUAACCCAUUUGAUUCUAUAGUACGUUCUUCAAUUGUAUCUUGUUGUUUUAUUAGGAUGCGUUGACUGAUUGUAUAUUUCUUUUCCGAUUAAGGUUUGAAGAUGAAAGAUUUGUAUAAUCAGUUGCUAGAUCAGUGUUUGUUUUCUUAACUUUUGAUUCUAUCAAAUGAUAUUAUAUUGAUUUAUGUUUAAUUAGUUUACUACUUGAUUGUUUGAUAUGUUUUUAAACUAAGAUAUCGUACGUAGAACUUAAAUAAAGAAAUUAGAUAACUCUGAUAAAAAAAUUCAACCCACCCCAUUUCAAAAUUGUAGUUCCUCCAUUGGAAAGCAUGAAGGAGGUUGAGGUCCUAAGGAGUCUUGCCGACUGUCGCUACAUCGUGUGCCUCAUCGAGCACGAGGAGGACAACAUGGGUCCCCGGUUGAAGUACUGCGACCCGAAGACGGCGACCGCCAUUGUCGUGGCCUAUGAGCACUAGGACACAGAUUUGACCAUGUACCGGAGAGCCAUAUUGCACAUGCGUCUCCCUGAGAACACACUCAAGACCGUCUUCCAUCAGCUCGUGAUGGGGCUUCGCGUAGCUCACUUUGCCCGGAUUUUUCUCCGGGACCUCCACCUGGAGAAAUCAGGGUUUCAGAGCAGCCCUUUCUUGUCAAGCUGUCUGACUUUGCUGGCACCAAGGUUGUUGAUCCCUAUGUCGGGUUUGAAGAUGCGGUGACACCUCCCGAGGCAUUGGAGCGCUGCCUCAGCUAACAGGCGCAGAGCAGCUAAUCGGUUCCGAAAAGUAUACCAAACAGGUGGAUAUGUGGGCGCUUGGCUGCAUAAUGGGUAUGGUUCUUGAUUGUGAACUUGUGAUUUGGGGGUUUUAUUGUGUUGAACUGUGGCAUGUGUGCAAUUGAUUGGUUGUGUGAUCAUGGGAUUGUGUUGUGUUUUGUGAGCAAAUUAAUUGAUUGUGUUAAUAUCAUGGUGGGUGCAGUUGAUAUGAUAAAUAUAGUGAAAAUUGAUGGUGCAUUUGGAAAUGGAAGGUUAUACCAGUGAGUACAAAGAUGCUUUUGAUGAUUGAAUUGGUUUACUGAUAAGGUUAGGGACUGUUUGUUUCUUCUCUGGUUGCUCUGUUUCUUCUUGGUUUCUGUGUUUUCCGUUUUGUAUACUGAUGUUUCUUUCUUAAUGAUAUUGUUACCUUUUCAAACAAAGGUUAGAUGAUUGAAUUGGUCAUUAAUUAAUUCACUGUGAGUCCAUUUAUAGGGAUGAUAUGACAUAAAUUGUUAUGUCUUGUUGUUAAUUAAGACCUUUGUGGAAGAAAAUUUGCCCCGACCACUUUUAUUUGUCCACCCUUAUAUCCACCUAUCUAGAUUUGUGUCAUGUGUUCUCUCUCUUACCAUUCUCUAACCAUGGUUAGUUAUAUAUAUAUAUAUAUAUAUCUUAAUAAAUUCUAUAAUAAUUAUAUUUUCUUUUAGUUUCAGUUAAACUAUUGACUACAUAAUAAUAAUAAUAAUAAUAAUAAUAAUAAUAAUAAUAAUAAUAAUAAUAAUAACUUCUUUUAGACUCAUCUUAAAAAUAAAAAAUCAAGCUUUUGAUCACUUUAGGACUCGGAAUAUAUCCUUGUAUUCUUAGGUCUAGGUUUCGCCCUUUUUGCGGUGGUUUUAGACGAUAUAAUGAUCAAGGGGUUGGCUUGAGACUUGAGAAGGGUGAAUAGGGAGAAAUUUGUAGGUAUGGUGUUUGAUGCAUGAAAUGCAGAAAAAGGUGAACUACCCUACCAAUAUUCAAUAUUGACAUAUAAAAUUUACUCAAAUGGCCGAAUGAUGGAAACUAUCAAACUAUGAGCCUAAUUACGGGUGAUUGUAUGUAGAAGUGUAGAACAACCACAACUGAUAUCAGUACAUCCAAAUUGACUUACCUAUGGCUGAAUUUUAGUGGACUUCUUCCAAAUCACUUACCUAUGGCUGAAUGUCUGCAUGAUUUUCUAUUUAUUAAGCUGAGUCAAAAGUUAGAUUGAAAUUUAAAAAAAAAAAUAGAAUUAUAGAAUUUAUUAUUGUGAUUAUAAUAGUUAACUAUGGUUAAAAAAGAGAGGACACAUGACAUAAGUUUAGGUGGGUGGGCAUAAGAGUGAUCGGCAAAUUUGCUUCCGACUUUUAUGGUCCAUUUAUUUAUCAGGGGAGUCAAACACAUGAGAGCUAAUGUUUAUUGAGUCUAUUGAGUCUAUCUAUAUUUUCAUGUAUAGUAGUAUAGUAUCAAAAAUUCUUAUAUUAUAUGUCCUGAAGCAAAGUCAAGUCUAGCUCUUCAUUCUGGUUUGUAACUUUAGGGGUAGAUUGAAGUUUGUAAUUCCUAUUGGCACAACACCACUUUUAUAUGUCCUGAAGCAUAUGCAUGCUAGCUUAGUCAAGUUGAGUCUUCAUUCUGUCACACUUUAUGUGCAAGACUGUUUUCAUUGGACUUCUACCUUUUGUUCUCAGAAUAUAUGGUCAAAAACUGUUAUAUUUGGUGUGUUUUCCAAAAUAUAAUUGUUGAAUUCUUUUUUUGCUUCUGUUUUUCUUUUGUAUACAGUUGAAAUGGCAACUGGUGAGGUUUUGUUCCCUGCUGAUCCUACUUCUCACCCCCGUACCCAUCUCCAAAACAUAUAUAGGUAAUUCCAUUCAUUUAAUAUUUUGAGUGUGUUGUUGUAGUUAUUAAUCCAUAAACGUAUAUUGAGGUCUAAAGUUCAAUUUACCUGUCUACAGACGCUUGGGCACUCCAUCUGAGAACCCCUAUCCUUCUGAUGUGAAGGAUCAGUGGGAUACCCAGAAGACUAUUAGGCCUACCCUUAAUCUCUAUGCUCGCCUGUUACCAUUGUUUGGCCAGUCAGGAUCUGAGCUUGUUAAUGGUAAGUAUAUUUGUACACAAUUUUUGGAAAGCAAUUUGUACACAUUUUCCUUGUUCUAUUACAAUAACCAUUUAAUUUCAUCUCCUAUUUGUUAUAGGGAUUGUUGUGCUUUGAUCCGAAAAAAAGGACUACAGCUGGAAGGGCCGUUGGGCAUGACUAUUUCAAGGACCUUGAAGUGAUCUGAGCAUCCAAGAUAUGAAAGAAGACACCUUUGUAAUCAAGUCAUGAACUCAUCUCUCCAUGAUAGUCUGUUAGACUUGAGUAUUUCCUUUCCUGCUUUCAUUCUUUCCCUUACUGGAGCUAGCUGCACAUUGGAUUUUAAAACUCUACCUUUCCCUUCCUUUGAUGGGUCAAUGUAGAUGAGGACUUGGUAAAACUGAAUCAAUGUAGAUGAGGACUUGGAAGGGAUAAGGGCUCACUUCCUCCAUUUGUGGAGCCAAAUAGGGAGCUGAAAUGCUUAAGAACAGUUCUUCUAUUCCUAUUUAAGUGAUUUCAUUCCACCUUAUUUGAAUACUAGAGCAGAGCGGUACAAACCAAUAAUAGAAGCCACCGUGAGACCCUAAGCCUUUCUUGAUCCGAUAAAGGCCAACUAAACAAUACGAUUUAACUCUCAAGUCUUGACCAUAAACAUUAAUGGAACAGGCAUAUAAAGGUCACUGAUCUGUAAUAUGAAGACCGAUAGACUGGUUAAAAAUAACACCAUUUCCAACAUUUCAAGAUUGACAAAGUGCGACAAAACAUCGACGUAGAAGGGAAAAGACAUUAGCCAAGAGGUUCAACUGACAUUAGGUAUUAACCUCCUAUACAAAAUUAUAAUAGAUACAACAUAAACCUAAGGAAAAUUCAGAACGAGUCCAAUCUCAACUUGCAAAAGCUUUUAUGUCUAUCAACCCCAAUAAAUUUUCUAUUUGGGCUGUUUAAAGUUGAAGUAGAGGCAGAGCCAUUACAACACCAAAGAUAGAAAUGAGCAGUAACAUCAUCCAGGUAGGGAACGACUGCUUUUUAAUCCUCCUCGUGUCCUUUAGGGCACCUACUGUUUUCAUACCUCCUGCCGUAGAACCGUCAACCUUUUCCAACAAGGGCUUGGAAUUUUCUUGAGACGAUUCAGGUGCAACCUGCUCUUGAUUCAGCUGCUCAGAAAGCUGCUGUUGCUGCUGGUUAUAUUUCUCCACAUACUCCGGAAACAUCUUGCGAAAUGUGACACUGGUUUGACAGAAAAUUGGCACACAUUAGUGGAACGACCAAUCUGAAUCGAUAUUUAGUCUUUAAAACUGACAAGAGUCAAGCGGCUUUUAGCAGGUCUACAAGAAAUCUAGCAUUUGUGAGAUAGAUAUAACAAUAUGCUAGCAUAUUCAAGUAUUUUCUAUUUGCCCUUAGUGUGGCCUAAACUAUCGAACAAAAACCUAGAACAAACUGUAUCUGGUCGAAUGCACUUACUUCUUGGCGUUAAAAGCAAGAGAAGUCUUUGCCAACCGUUGCUUCUCAGCUACAGUAGUGUUCACACUGCCAGUUGUAGGACUGUUGUCCAUCUGCACAAGUGAACACAAGUUGAAAUACAAGCCUCAAAAAUCAAGGGCAUGGCAUUCCAAACCAUUGGAACUAUAAAGUCUAUAUAGGUAUAAUCAACAAAAAUAUAUAUGAUAACAUUUAAAAUGAAAAAUAAAAGUACAUUCCUUCAACUACUGAAACUUAGAGGGGACAUAAAUCACAGGUUCCUCUAUAUACAAACUAUCAAUUACUGACAUGUAAUCUUCCAAAUAAAAGUUAAUGACAUGUAAAAGCCGACAGACAGAAAGCGGCAUGGAAAAAAAAAAUUCAAAGAGCAACAAUAAACUCACCAUAAAUGAAAGAAGCCCUGUAAGUAUGCUGCAUUUAUAAAGAACAUAUGUUAGUGUAGUCUAGUGAUUUAUCAAAUUAUUCAGUUUGCAAAUUAAGAAAAGGCACAUAAAAGAAGUUCCUCUGAAGUCCAGACAGGCCUAACCUUGACACGGACCACAUCGGAUUCCAACUUUCAGGAUGAACUACAUAGCAGCAUAAGUUGAAAGAAGACAGUUAUAAAGAGCAUUUAUAAUCAAAAAUAAAAAAUAAAAUAAAAUAAAAUAAAAAAAUCCUUAAAACCACCUCUAUAGAACUUACAAUCACUCAUAGACAAACAAAUUUUCUUCUGAGUCAUAAAUCGUCCAUUGGGAGUAGUCAUGCUACAAACAGGAACAAAGUCAUAAGUGUAAUCAACAGUAUACAUGCACACAGAAGAAAUUUUGUGUACUAAAUCAAAACUAGGUGCUUCAUAUACACAAACAGAACCUAAUUUGCAGAAGAAUUUAAUAAAAAGUCGAUACCUGAUUCCUGGUGGUUUAUAGGGAUACUCUGGAGGAAACUUGAUCUUCCCAUAGUAAUAUCCACCUGAGAUCAGUGGAACAAAUUCCAUAAGUGGGUUCGGUUUUGAUGUAAAAGGUUUAUACACGGAGUUAACAAUUUGGCAGAUGAAAAGCUAAACCCAUCUAGCUCUAGUACUAAGUGCAUCGAGUGAGCUAGCAAAUAGGUAAGCUUCAUACCAUGUAGGAUAAACAUAAUCAACUAUCUAUAACGCCUGAGGUCCCAGGUCCAAGCCCCCCUCUCCCAACAUACGAAUAUAAAACAAUCAUCAUAGGAAUGGUACAACAGAUGCUACCCAAUAUCACACAUCAUAUAGAGGAAAAGGAGACUGCAAACAAACCUGCAAAAGGUGUUCCUUCGCUUCCCUCCAAGACGUAAUCUGCACAUCCAAUACAAAGAAAAAUGAUAAAAUUCCCAACCAAAGGACAUGCAAGGAUACUGUUUCCACACUACAAAUUCUUCACUAAUAUCAAGGAAGGAUAAUGAGUAAUUUCCCAUGACGCAAAACACAGAUUUAGUAGCUUCUCACUUAAAAAUCUACAUUUCAAGAUUUGCAGGGAAAAGCUAUGAGUAUGUUUACACAGUAAUCCCCAAAUCCCAAAGCAUGAUACUAAACUUGCAGAGAAUAAAUAAUUUUCAUCUGUGAACCUGGUUCAUUUGUUUUUUUUUUUUUUUCCUUCCUUUUUCUUAUAGAGCCAAAGAAAGAAAUUCUUCUUGACCAAAAAAAUAAAGAAAAGAAAGAAAUUCAAUUUUCUUGCCCAUUCAAUACAGGGACAAAGAUAAAUGUUUUUAUUUCCUGGAAACAGAAAGAACCCAUGUCCUGCGUAACCAUCCCCACACCACCUAAAUGCCAACAUUAAACACUGGCUGUAGAAAACGAAGCUAAAUCAUGAAAGGACCAGAGUGUUUAACCAUCUCUUAGAAAAGAAUACUUGGCUACCUGAAGUCCAGUUUUUCACUGAGCAAACACCCAAACUGACAAAAUUGCUCAAUGCAUUAUCAAAUCCUGGUCACAUGUAAGUUCCCCAUUCUCUACUCAUCAAAUGUGAGAAAAGCCAAGCACCAAAAAUCUAUGUCUUGAUUAUAUAAAGAUUAAGCCCUCUAUUUUCAUAGAAUUAACAUUGCAAAGACUUCGAUUCGAUUUUAAAGGAAGCCAGUUGUCAGUAAACUUACGCCACUCGAGAAUGUCAUUUGGGGAAGGACGGGCCACAACAUGAGAAACCGGUUCCUACAUAUCCACAAAUAACACAAUUAGCACCAUCCAGAACACAGAGUAAAAAAUUUCUAAGCUACCCAAAGGAUGCAUCAUUAUUAAAUUAAUGCACAUAUAAUUCCCAUAGUAAUCAAAUCUAAAAAGAAAAUUGAUACAAAGCACUUCUUUCAACAAUACAAUUAUUAAAGCAUUGGAUAGCAAGUCCAUAGGACAGUGUGAUUCAGAAACAAGCAAAAAGAAAACAAAAUUAGAUUUACCAUGAGAUAACAAAAUUGAUCGUUAACAAGACCAAGAGAUAUUUUACUGAUAUUUGAGUGAAACAUGACAUAAAUAAUGGCUAAACAAAGUACUCUAGGGAUGGAAAUGAUACAGGACUACUAUCAGUCUAUACCAGAUAAUAUACAACAGAAUCAGUAGAAAAAAGAACGCACCUUACACAGUGCUCUAUAUUCCUUCUGUAAGCGCUUGACGCAUGACUUCUCUGCCAUCUCCCAAAAAUAUCUUAAAAGUAGCAAAUAAAGCCCCUAUUCAGUGCUUAACUUCUUUUUUCCCAAAUGUUAUUGCCAAUUCUCUGCUAAACACGGACAAGAUUCACAUAUUAGAACUGAAUUCGACGCAUAGACUAUGACCACUAUUGACUACAUGAGGAUGCAAUAAAUCAUGUACCGGACAAAACCAUAUCAAAAUCAGUUCAAGAAAUAGGCAUCUCAGUCCACUUUAAAGUCUUUCUUUAGACAGUCUACCUCACCCUCCAUACUCCAAAAUUCAUCAAACAAAAGUUUCCCAAUUUUUCCUAAAUAAUUUAUCAACCAACAUGAUUACACCAUCAUAAACCAUCAAUAACACAACCGCUACGAAAGAAAUCCAACCAAUUAUAUUUUAAGUUCUUAACAAAGCUAUCAAUAAUCAAAAUCAAUAAUUCCCAAUCAAGAUAUAACUUUCACUCAUAAAUCAAUAGCAAAAAUCUAAGCUAAGAGGUCUCAGUAGUAAUCUAACACAAGUGUAAAGCUAAACAGAAAAAGAAAAGUGCCCAUACUAGACAUUCAAAUCCCACUACUCAAUUUGGGCAAAGCCCAGCAGCAAUUCACCAUCCAAUUCUCAAUCUUUCAAGGGUUUUAGCCCAAAAUCCCAACAACAAAUCGGCGAAACCUAACGAAUCCAAAUCCAGUAAUUGACCUCAAAAUUGAACUCGAAAAAAUUAAGAAUUAGAGAGAGAUGGAUAGAUCGAGGAGAGUAAUAGUGGGCAACGAGAAAUAGGAUGAACCUGAGGAGAUCGGGGGAUUGGGGAUAAGCGAGGGAGGUCGAUCGCACAUGGAAGGAAGCGUUAGGAUCAGCGCAGACAAUUUUCCCUUUUUCUUGUUUGCAGAUUGUCCCGAAUGGAAGGAGACGACGUCGUAUUGGACCUAUUUGUUCCAACUCCAAUGUGACGGUGUCAUUGGUGUGGCCGACUAUAGGUUGUCCUUCCAGAGGACCACAUGUUUAAAGGUUCCUAUUUAAUUGACUGUUAUGCCCCGUUUCCUCCAGUUUCACUAUUGGGCAGUUCGAGUGGGAAGUGCUGGACUACGCGAAAGUAAUCUUGUAUACUAAACUAAUUCCAUUUUUUCUUGUGUCUGUUUGCAAUGUAGGUUUGUGAUGAUAGACAUUCAGAAUUAAUUCUUUGCUUAGACAUAACAUUAUGAGAGACACUGCCCCGCUCCUGAAAAGCAGUUUAACUGUUUAAUUCCUCCCCCACCUGGAUACAAGGUGAGAUGCUGCAUUGUUUAUAUUAAUGGAAUUGAGGGAACGUUGCAUUCUGAGUAGUUUGAAUUGAGAAUUGAGUAUGUUUUAUGUCUUCAUUGAAGAAGAAGAGCUUUGUUUAUGUUAAUAUUACACAGCUCAAAUAGAUGAAAAUUAUCAUUCAUUGAGUUCAUAGUGAUAGUAGGUGCUAUCUAUCUAUAUAUGGUAACCGGAAAUUGUGGGAUUCUUCUUUAGAAAAAGUAGUGAUUGUUUGAUUGUUUUUUUUUUUUUUUCCUAAAUAGAUCGGUGCGACAUAGUUGAAGAUAUGUGUAUCAUAAUUGCUUUAUUACUGUCAUUUCGGUCGUAUGGAUUGUGCAAUUCGGUUCCAUGCUUCAAAACAUCCUAAAGACCUCUACCACUUCAGCAAGGGGAUGGAUUUUGGAACUAGGUGGUGUUUAAAACAGUGGUCAUCAUCUUGCCAUGAACACAAUCGUGCUUAUUUUUGGUAACUUUUCUUAACAAUUGGUCACCACCUUUGUUGAUAUUUGUGGUUCAAUUUCAUAACCUGAAUUACACUGAUCUAAAUCUUACAACAGGUUUUUGGGUCAGCUUGGUAUAUCAGUAGCCGACAACAGAACGUAUUGCAGACAGACACUGAUGAAUGGAAAUUACAGCUUACUCUACAUUCUAACUUGUGUUCCCAAUCCAGAUUGCAUCAUGAUCUUUAAUGUAUAAUUCUUUUGUACUCUCAUUGCGUUCUUUAACACCGGGUAUUGCAUGGCACAAAUUCAAAUUCAAGGGAAGAAAUGUACUGUGACUUUUUCAUUUUUUCUAACGUUUGGAUCUUGAUCAACUUUUGGAUAUCCAAACAAUUUUUUUAUAGAUCUAUAAUAAACAUGGCAUACUUUAGCAGCGCUUAGGCUAGGCAUAACCGCCAGACUUGCCCAAACUAGAUUCGCUAAAGACAAGACAACAACAACAGCUACAAGUUGCAGCAAGCCGCUCGAUAAUUGAAGUUGGGACGCGCCAGCAAGCAUGUCACGAAUACCGCUUGACAGAAGCAAUGCUGCAGGCAUCAGUCCCACAUCAAAGAAGAGGAAAUGUCUCAACAUCAGUACUAAUUUAAGCCUUGGGGAAAUAGAACAAGAAAAGAAAGGAAGAAAGGAAGAAAUGAAGAGAAGAGGAAAACGAAGAAUGAGAAGAAAUAAAGCAAUUGGGCCUCUAUGGCAUCUUGGUCUCCCCCAAACUUUUUUUUGUCGCCCGUGAUAAAUCAAGUGUCCAAAAGAGAGAGAAAAGAAAAGCUUUGCUCGGUCUCGAUGUUACGGGUGUCCGAAUUAAAAUAUCCGAAUGUUGGUUUUGUACAAAUCUCUAAUCAAAUUCUCGACUCCGCCAAUCAAAUUCACAAAAUCCAAAUCUCUGGCUUCACCGAUCAAAUUCACCCAAACACCACAAAUAUCAAAUAUCCAAACCAAAUUCAAGGGCUUUAAACCCUCACAAAUAUCCCAAGCACAAAUUCGAAAUAAAUGGGUCACCUACCCAUUUAAAUCCCAAAUGCCGGAACUACAUGUGGUUUGAUCUCGCAAGGGUAUGUAGGUAAUUUGGAAUCAAAUAAUCUGGAUACAACCACAUCUUAAACACUAUUUCCUAUUUUAAAAGAGUGCGGCUAUUGGGACCUCCAAAUUUGCUCACUAGACCUCACUCUAUUUUAAAUUAUUAAAUAACAUAUACAUCCUCAUACAUAAUGACUAUUAAGGACAAUAAUUAUACAAAAGGAAAUAUUGUAUUUAUUCUCUUUAGACUUUCCAAUUCAAUAAUAAUUGAUUCUAUUCUUUAUUAUUUUCCUUAUAUAUUUUUGUUUUCUAAUUUCUUUUUAUUAAAGCAUAUAUAUAGUUUAUAAGAGCUAAAAAAAUAAUCAAUAUCGAUUAUGUGACAUACAAUUUUGUAUUAUCAUACAUGUUGAACGCAUAUACUUGCAAGAUGCAUAAAUAUUUUUGUAAGAAAAAAAAAUUAAUAUCUAUCGAUUAUAGAAAAUAUAUAUUUAUUGAAAUAAUUUAUUAUGAGGUACAAAAUAGAGAUCAAAUUAUUCAAAAGAAAAAAUGGAGAAAAUAUAACAUGUACAAAAGACAAAAACAAUUAAAAAGAUAUAUAGAGUAGUUCAUGAUAGAACAUUUUCUUGCAUGAAAAAAAUAAUCAAAAAAUGAAGGUAGGGAUAAUUGAUGUUGACAAACAAAAAGGAAAAAAGAAAAGAAAAAAAGAAUGAGAGGUCUAUUGAUUGAAUAAGAGGUAAUUAAUUGAUUGAAAUAUAUGUCAAUAAAUAACUAAAGUUAUGUUAGGAAUUUGAAAUGAGGUCUAGUGAGUAAAUACUUAUAUUGAAAACUAAAAGGGAGGUGUAGAGAGAAUGAGAGGUAUAGUGAGCAAAUUUGGAGGUCUCAAUAGCCAUACUCAUUUUAAAAUCGAAGCCCUCCAAUGAGUCAUUCACUCAUUGGAACUCUCAAACUACGAGUGGCUUGAUCCCCUCUAGAGUACAAUUCAGGUGCAGCCGCAAAAACAAACAAACCCACAAUGGUUUCUUGAUAAAUAGAAUCAAAGGAAGUUCCCUCGUAACAAGUUAUUAUAAUAAAGAGACAUGUUCUUUCUUCAAUGGGUCAAACCAGACAUAAUUAAAACUCUGUUAUUAUGGUUAUCAGUCCAAAAAUUCAUUUUAGGCAUGCGUUAUAAAGCAAUUCUUCUUUAGACCACAAUAUAUAAGAGAAAUUUUUUUAUAUUUGCAACAGAAGUAAUGCUAGGUGAACCACUAUUUGGGAAACCACCUUAGAGCCCACUUUACGUGGUAGCUGAUAUGGCAUAUCCACGUCAUCAAAACUUGAUUUCUUAUUCUUUUAUAUUUGUAUUUUUCUUAAUUCCUUUUUUUUCUUUUAGUUUCUCUUUUUAUCUUGUAAACUCUUUUUUUUAUUUUUUUAUUUUUAUUUUUAUCUUGUGAGCUAAUCUGCAAACGUCUUCAACUUUCUUAUGUUCGCAUAUGCGAGGUCUUCCAUUCUAAAAAAGUUUCUGUAACAUCUUCUAUUCUCUUCUGUCAAAUCUCACACUUCGUUUUCAAUUGAUCAACUCCCUCUAUUUGAUUUUGGUUACCUCACAAGCCUUCUCUUUGGUUAAUUUUUUUUUCUUUCGUGUAUGAAAUACAAAUAACAUGUUUGGAACUAGGGUUCAUGGGAUGUGGAUUUGAAUUUUAGUUUAGCAUGGUUCUUGUGUUCUUCUUGGAUCCUAAAUUUUGGUUUAGCAUGGUUCUAGUGUUCUUCUUGCACCUCUACUUCUGUAUUAUUCCCAUUAGUCCUACCAUAGAAACCUCAAGUGAUACUAGGUCCAUUUGGCAUGGUUACCAAACUGAUCUAAAUGAGUACCCCAACACCAAUGUCAUACCACGACUCCAAUUCCAAUCUUGAUGACUUUAAGUUUGAUUUCUAACUACAUAAUUAAAGAAGAACACAAUAAACAUGAUGAACCCUAAUUCAAAUCCAAUUCACCCUAAACCGUAAUUCCAAACUAGCUAUUACCUUGUUUGGAAUAGGGCAAAGCAUUUGUUACCGAUGCGCUUAAUUAAGAAGAGCUGAUUAAUUGAGAGAAGGUGAGAGGAUUGAGAGGAGAUCGAUGUGAGACGAGAAGAGCAAAAGAAAACAUCUAGACGUUGAAGCAGAAGCUAUGAAAGAAACUAAAAAAAUAGGGUUUAAAAUAGGCCUGUAAAAUGGGUAGGGCUGGGUCGACCCAACCCUAAUUAAGAUAUGAUGCCCUGGGCUUUUUCAGCCCUACAUAUAAAAUGGGCAAGGCAGAGCCGACCCUAUCAAAAUAUUAGAAAAUGUAUGGACCAGAAAAGCCCUCCCGUGACCCAAACAAUAAAAGAAAUUAAAUUCAAAGUUAUUUAUCAACUUAUUGAAGAAGACAGUAAACAUUUUACAUUUAAAUAACAAAAAUUACUUUUAGAGUAAAUUUUUGUAGUGUAAAUGAAACUGUAAUACAUUUAUUACACUAAUCUUAUAUUUUUUAACUAGCUCAUUCAUGUAAAAACAUAUACUUACCCUGUUGGACCUAAAAUAUACCAUAUGCGCAGGGUCAUGGGCCAACCCAGGACUUCAGAAGUGCUACCCAUACCCUGCCCGUUUUAAAAGGGCCGAGCAAAGCCCGCCUGUUGGCUUGGGCUAGGCCAACCCAUGACCCAAAAAAUUGGGCUAAGUUUGGGCAUGCCCAGCGGCCUUGGGUUGAGAUUACAGGCCUAGUUUAAAAGAUAAAACUAGGCUGAGAUUACAAGCCUAGUUUAAAAGAUAAAAGAGAGAAACUAAAAGAAAAAAAGUAGUUAUAGUAAUUAAGAAAAAAUAUAUAUAAAAGAAUAAGAAAUUAAGCUUUGAUGACGUGGUUAUGCCACAUCAGCUAUCACAUAAGAUGAGUUCUACGUGGUUUCCUAAAUGAUUGUUCACCUAGCAUUACUCAAAUUCGAAUACUGAGUUGCAGUAAUAAUUUCAUUGACCAGAGGUUAACUUAUAAUACUAAGAUGGUAAGGAAAUUAAAACAACACAGUUCAGUUGCAGCAUAUGUUACCAAUGAAGUCUGGAAUUUGACGCCCAUCAGGCCCCGUUUGAUUGGUGGGAAAUCAUGAUACGGAAAGGGAAUUACUUUAAUUUCCAUUAAAUUGUCAUGUUUGGUUAUGUCAUCCGCAUGGAAAGGAAACUAAAAUAAAAAAGUCGACCGGAGUCCAAUACCAUGUAGGAGGUGGUAUUUCAUUUCCCACACUAGACGGAAUUGAAAAUUUACUUAUAUUAAUUGUUCCUUUUAAAAUCUAAUCAAUUAAUGGUACUUUAAUUACACAUUAUUUUCUAAUUUUUCAUAUUUAAUUUGAUUGGAUAUUAUUGGAAAGUCAUUAACAAAUUAAUUAUUUCAAACCUUUCCUAAUCUCAAGUCUUAGAUUAUUCCAAACAUCACAAAUGGAAAUGCUACAUCAAUUCCAUUCCAUCCUUGAAAGGAAAAUGACUACAAUUCCUUCCCCUUCAUCACAUUCCAGUGUAUCUCCCGGUGGCGUACCCAAAAUAGGUUUCUCCAUAUGGCCAGAAGUUGGCCUGGGCAGUCCUGGGAGUGUUGAUGUAGUGAAUCCCCAAACACAAACAAAGGCUUGUGUCCCUUUUGAACAGAGAAGUGACCAAGGCAACUGCUGGAUAUGAAUAAUUGAUCGGAUCAUAGAAAUAAAGGUGAUGCUCUUACUGUCAAGUAUAUAUAUACAAAUAAAGUCUAUAUAUCAUUGCCUCCGGGCCGCAAGGCUUUUAUUGAGAUCACUGUGAAAAAGAUGAACGUUUUCAAGAACUUAGGUACACCCGAAAACGAUGUAGUAUUUCAAGCUUUUGUAUGUUUAAGGAAUAAAAGUAUGAGGGUCGUAACUAAUAUCAAUUCAAGACUUAGGGGUAACUAGCUCUACGCUCGUUUGAAGUUUGAUUGUUACUAUGAAGAAAUGUCAAGCUCAAUUUCACAGAGAUAAAAGAUCGAUCUAUUACAUAUGGGUAUUGGGUAAGUACGCACUAGGAAAAUUGAGUCAGCUAGUAAGGAGUUGUCCAAGAAAACACUAACAUGAACACAACAGAUGAUAAUCAUGAUAUAUAUGACAAAAUUUUGAAGUGGAACACAACAUAUUAUACCUUCAAAAAAGAAAGAAAAAUAACACAACAAAUAUAUAUAUAUAGGCCUUUUUAGAUACAAACAUCCUUAUUUAUUCAAAAAGUACUAAUUUUCUUAAUUUGACUAACUUUUCUAUUAUAUUUUCUCAUCUUAACCGUUCACAUUGUAGGUAUAUAUGAGUAGAUCAUCUCUACAAAUUUUCAGCUAAUUUGAAUAUCGUUAAGGUAUCGAAAAUGAAAUAAAUCAAUGAACAAAUUGAAACUGUUCAACCUGAACAGUUCGCAUUUUUAGUUCUAAAUCAUUAUUUUUGAAUGUCUUAACGAUUAUCAAUUUGACUAAAAGUUUGUAGAGAUGAUUUAUUCAUUUAUACCUACAAUGUGAACGAUUAAGAUGAGAAAAUAUGAUCUAAACAUGGGUCAAUUAAGAAAAUAUGUACCUUUUGAAUAAAUAAAAAUAUUUAGACCUGAUAAUAAUAUAUAUAUAUAUAUACGUAUUUUUCUCAGCUGCUGCCGUCCGCACAACUUUGGUGCGGAUUUCCAUUUNNNNNNNNNNNNNNNNNNNNAACUGAAAUAACGAUGCAAAUAGAGGGGCAUGACUCAUAAGGGUUGGGUACUGUUCUGUGAACAGUAACCCUCCCCCCCCCCCCCCCCCCCCGCCCUUCGCUUAAUAUAUACAGAUAUGGAAGACAGUCAGAGAUCAGGAACAUCGAUGCAAUAAACAUAUACUCCCACAUAUAUACACAGACUCGCACCACUUAAAAGAAGGGAGCAACUUCAUAUGAAUAAGAACUAGGAUUAACCUCACCUGACAGCCAUGACAGAUAUCUAAUUUCCAAAACUAGAUUAGGGGGGCAACACUACACCUUUGCUUAACUAGGUAGAGUAGCGAGAUCUUUUCAAAGAUCACUACAGUAAACAACAACUUCAUAACUCCAGGGGAAAAAUUCCUUUAAUCAAAUCAAACAAAAUCAGAAAUUCGUCCCAAGCUCUAACCAAACAUACAUAUAGAUUUGACUACUAUACCCCGUCCUAUUUGAUCAAUACAACUAUCAAUAAAUUAAACAAAACGGAAGAACUUCACCUCCUAGCAUUCACAAUGAGGAACCACUCAUAGAAAACAGUGGUUAUCACCUACCAUUCAUAAUGAUGAACCAAGAAUACAGUUAUUGGAUGUAAACGUAUUAAAUUGAGGAACUCAUAUAUAGAACUCUAAGUGUGAGCUAACAUCAAGAUCAUAAUUUCAUAAUAAUAACCUUUUGUCGAUUAUUCAAAGCAAAGAAAGAUAUAACCCAGUGAAAGCUCCAAACUUUUAAGCACACAGAAAAUAAUGAAACACAAAGAUCAAUGCCUUCAGCCACUUAUAUCAUUCUGUAUUCCCAAAACACAAUUUAGUAAGGUCCGAGGUAUGAACCUAGGCUCUGAUACCAUUUUGUAACACCCUGACCCAGAUUAACGGAUGAUAAAUCCAAGAUUAGGGUGUCACGAAAUGGUUUAGAAACAUCAAUUAGGUCUUACCGCGAUUGAGAAGAUCAAAUACUGUAGUUGGAUUUUCAUGAGAUUUAAACACAACCCCAAAAGACAUAAACCCAGAUGAAAUCAUAAAUACCCGAAACGAGGAGCUGGAGCUUCCAGCCUUCCCACCCGGCCCCUCUCCCCUCCUUCCGAUCCCUUUUCUGCCUAAAAAGAUCGAGAAAGUUGGUGGAGGGUGAUAAGAUCAGGGAGGUCGUUGUCUUCCUCUAACUCCUUCUCAGAUAAGAAACGAAAAUGGGAGAAAGCGAGAGAGAGAGAGAGAGAGAGAGAGAGAGAGAGAGAGAGAGAGACGUACCNNNNNNNNNNNNNNNNNNNNNNNNNNNNNNNNNNNNNNNNNNNNNNNNNNNNNNNNNNNNNNNNNNNNNNNNNNNNNNNNNNNNNNNNNNNNNNNNNNNNNNNNNNNNNNNNNNNNNNNNNNNNNNNNNNNNNNNNNNNNNNNNNNNNNNNNNNNNNNNNNNNNNNNNNNNNNNNNNNNNNNNNNNNNNNNNNNNNNNNNAUUUUUAGUCCUGCAAUGAAUGUUAACGUGGUUAAGCUGCAGUGAAAAAGAAAAAGAAAAACAAAAGACUCCUGUAACGAACUGAAUUCAAGUACUUUUGAGUUCUGAUAGCCCUUCUAUCGUCUUAUUCUCCUCUUUUCUAUCUUUCUUCCAUGAACAUAAGGUGUUUCUCUUUUCAUUCUUGCAAGUAAUCUAUUCUACAUAUGAUUCUAUUGUGUAAUUUCGAACUUUUGAUUUGAACUGAAUUUUGUUUUGCCUUCACCUGACAACUUUUGAAGGUGCGAGAACAUUGAUUCUUUAUUCGAUGAAACAAUCUGGUGAUGAAGGAUUGUGCCUAAACACAGAAGAAGUAGAAAAAGUGGUUAUGAAAAUAUGGCCAUGCGAGGAUUGAGAAAUACGAGAAUGACAUUUUGGGGUUUGAUUCAAUUCAAUGUUGGAUUUGAGAUUCGCAGAUCAAGUACUUCACAUGCUGGUAAACUACAUCGUAGAUCUAGGUUAUACCCCAUAUUCUGAAUUUGGUGAAAAAACAUCUUUCACAAGGACUUAAAGGACUUGAUUACCAAAAAUCAGAUCUAGGUCCCUAUCAUAUACAUAUGAGGAAUUGAAGAACAUAUAUUCUUGGCUGCUAAUAAUGCAUGCGAUCACAAUGAUACAUGUUCAUAUGAGAGAAGUAGUGGAGACAGAAUAGAAGGCAACGACAGAGUGAACAACACCGUCAGGUAUUGUUUUUUUCUUUUUUAUAUCUUAAUUCCUCCUUUAAUUAUCAUUGUCUAAUCUAGAUCAUCAAAAUAUUCCCAUGGUGUAAAUUUUAUGAACUUCACCUAAAGUUACUUAGAGGAGUCGAAUCCGACACGGUUUCUAUGGCCUAUUUAUCCACACACACACCAUUAAUCUUACGGACGAAUAUUAACGUAGCCAUCAGAGAAUUAUACUGUGAACCAUAUGAAUAAGUUGAUCAGUAUACGUAUUUCGAAUCCAGGUCUCUCUGCAUGAUCAACUUUUUGGAAGAAAAUUAAAUUAUGCUUGAUGAAACAAACGCCCAAUGUCGAAACUUCAAUAUAUCGAAAGCUUGUUGUACGUGAAAGCUGCCAAAUUUUGUAGUUAUGUUUUCUUCCGUUCUCUGUUUCAUAUGAUAUUUACAUGUAAUCCACAUGCAAGUUAUACUCCUGAAAGAUGUGUGUUUGUGCAUGUCUAAUAUAUAUGCACGCAUAGGGUUCAAACUUAGGGUCUGGUUCAAGGGACACAAAUUUUGACACUAUUUUUUACACUAAUUUUUAUCCAUUAGAUCUUAGUUGAUCAAAUGGUUGUCAUUAACUAUGAGUAUGACUUGGCAAGUGACAUGACAAUAAUAUAUUUUCCAAAUAAAAAAGGUCAAAGAUAAAUGAGUUUAAUUUAACAAUUUUCUUUAAAGAAAAUCAAAGGAAAAGUUUUACAUUGACCUCUAGAAGAUAGAACAUGGUGUUCUUCAACGAAAAAAGAAAAUCCAGGAAUUCACAUAUGAAAAAGAGGUGUGUGCUCAUAUUCAUGUAUGCCAUCAAAUACGUACAAUGAUUUGUAAACAAUCUAAUUGAUCAUCUUAAUUGAAUGGACAAUUCAAUCAAUCAUGUUAUAUAGGAUUUGACUCACCCGGGAAACCCUAAUUUGUAAACUCUUAGUACCUCUGCAAACUUGACGCACCUGGACAAACCUAAUUCUUUACUUGUAGAAUACAUAGGAAUGAAUCACACUAUAUGAUACUGAACUACAUCUAAUUAUCCAUAUCUACACUCUUCUUUUAUCACUGCCUUUUUUUUCAUGAAGAUGGCCAUGGCCUUAUUGGGUAUUACUUGAAGAGGGAAGCACACCUUCUAUGCCAUACCUGGAAUUCAUUUGGAAUUCUUCUGCACUCAAUCGUGCAAGAUUUUGCUUUGAUUUUCUUUAAAAAAGAAAAUUUUCAAAUCAAUUCGUUUAUUUUUUAUUUGGAAAAUAUAUUAUUGUCAUGUCACUUGCCAAGUCAUACUCACAGUUAAUGACAACCAUUUGAUCAACUAAGAUCUAAUGGAUAAAAAUUAGUGUAAAAAAUAAUGUCAAAUUUUGUGUCCCUUGAACCGGACCCUCAAACUUAAGACUUGUUGCAUGACGUUUGCUUAAGAAUCUAACUAGGUGGAGUUUGGACGUACUGGUCAAGAAUCAAAGAUCAACUAGUAACAAGAACAAUCUUGAAGCAUUUUAUUCGAUCCAAGAUUUACAAACUUGAUAAUUCUGUUACAUGCCUUGAACUUUCUUAUAUCAUCAUCAUAUGACUCUGUUCUUGGAUUUAUAUGAAGGAAAAAAUUGAAGCUCUAAUACUCUCCCCAUGAAACAUAACUAAAAGAAAUUGUCUCAUUAAAUCACUUUUUGGUUUUGUUUACAUAUGAAUGAUAUCAUUGGUUUGAUUUACAUACAUUGUUAGUUCAUCUCAAUAAUUUGAGAGAGUUGUGAUAAAAACUAAGAAUGAAAAAAGUGACAGUCAAAAAACUCAUCUUAGAUCUUAACAACGUCGCACGUAGCUAACAACGCAUCCUCAUUGCUUAUAUUAUUGGAGAAAUAUGAUUUUAGGGGUUGACAAUCACCUACUAAUGAAGUUGACAUAACUAAAUGACUACAUAAUAUAAUGUUCAUGACUUUAGGUGAGUAAUUGACUUCUUUUUUUGAAAAUGUGAGUAAUUGACUUAAAAAAUAGGUAAUUGUUUCUCGCUUCUACCAUACAUCAAAUACUAGUGCGAGUACUAAAUAGAACAUAUGUCCAAACCCCCCCCUCCCCCCCCCCCCCCCAAACGUGAUGUUUCCUACUUGACCUCAUUCAAACAAGGGAAACAAAAUCUCAGCCCAUACAAGGACAACUCAUAACUACUACAUAUUGUUCUUCAAAAGAUCUCAAUCUCGGGAGUGGAAGACGGUAAGACGCUAGGGCUCGAAGUUGAUCUGGUUCAGGUGAGAAAACUUGUAGUUAGUUUUGGUCGCCGGAUAUAGAUAUAUUAAUGCUGGUACUAGUUUUGAUUGAAUUGAAUCUCGCUUUUGUAGGCAAUAUAAUGGCUUUUCGCUUUUUGUUACAAAGAUGGGGAACAUUUGUGUUCCGAGUGGGCGCACAAUAUUGGUAGAAAACAAGAUGGGGAACAUUUGUGUUUGGAGUGGGCGCACAAGAUUGGUAGAAAACAAGUCAAUUUGGUCUGAUUUGGGAUACCCACUUCAGGUAAUUAAAUCCAUGCUUUAAUUGUGUUCCAUGAAACUUUCACCAUAUAUCCAAUUUUGAUUCAUGUAUAUGAAACCACUUUCUCGUUGUCUUAUUAACCCAACUAGAAAUAUAAAUCAGCAUUUCCUCAUUGUCUUAUUAACUCAACUGAGUACAUAUGGAUACAAUUAUAUAAAUUCGUAAUGACUAUUUAGUUCCUAGAUAACACAUUCAUGCAUUACAUAUACCCUCCUAAUGCAUGCAUCCGCCCAAUAUAACAUUUGACCUACAACUUCUAAAAUUAGUUUAAAUCUAAAUUUAGAAGUUUUUAUUGCUACUCACCAAAAAACUUGGUUCAUCUAUUCUCAAUCCUUUCCAAACCUCCUCCAUCACCUGAAUAGUGUUACAAACAUUUUCUAAAAAAAAAAAACCCUUUGUAACACUUUCUUUCAGGUGAAAGAGGAGGCUUGGAAAGGAUUGAGAAUAGAUUAACCAAAUUUUUUGGUGAGCAGCAAUAAAAACUCUUAAAUUUAGAUCUGAACUGAUGUCAGAAGUUGUAGGAACAAAUGUUAUAUUAGGCGGAUGCAUGCAUCAGGAGGGUAUGUGCAAUGCAUGAAUGUGUUAUCUAGGAACUGAAUGGUCAUUACGAAUUUAUAUGAUUGUAUCUAUAUGUACCCAGUUGAGUUAAUAAGACAACGAGGAAAUGCUGAUUUAUAUUUCUAGUUGAGUUAAUAAGACAAUGAGGAAGUGGUUUCAUAUACAUGAAUCAAAAUUGGAUAUAUGGUGAAAGUUUCAUGGAACACAAUUAAAGCAUGGAUUUAAUUACCUGAAGUGGGUAUCCCAAAUCAGACCAUUGACUUGUUUUCUACCAAUAUUGUGCGCCCACUCGGAACACAAAUGUUCCUCAUCUUUGUAACAAAAAACGAACAGCCAUUAUAUUGCCUACAAAAGCGAGAUUCAAUUCAAUCAAAACUAGUACCAGCAUUAAUAUAUCAAUAUCCGGCGACCAAAACUAACACAAGUUUUCUCACAUGAACCAGAUCAGUUUCGAGCCCUAGCGUCUUACCGUCUUCCACUCCUGAGAUUGAGAUCUUUUGAAGAACAAUAUGUAGUAGUUAUGAGUUGUCCUUGUAUGGGCUGGGCCUUUGUUUCCCUUGUCUGAAUGAGGUCAAGUAGAAAACAUCACUUGGGGGGGGGGGGGCUGGUCUUUACAUCAAAUGUUUGGACAAAUGUUCUAUUUAGUACUCGCACUAGUAUUUGAUGUAUGGUAGAAGCGAGAAACAAUUACCUAUUUUUUAUGUCAAUUACUCACAUUUUCAAAAAAAGAAGUCAAUUACUCACCUAAAGUCAUGAACAUUAUAUUAUGUAGUCAUUUAGUUAUGUCCACUUCAUUAGUAGGUGAUUGUCAACCCCUAAAAUCAUAUUUCUCCAAUAAUAUAAGCAAUGAGGAUGUGCUGUUAGCUACGUGCGACGUUGUUAAGAUCUAAGAUGAGUUUUUUUACUGUCACUUUUUUCAUUCUUAGUUUUUAUCACAACUCUCUCAAAUUAUUAAGAGAUGAACUAACAAUGUAUGUAAAUCAAACCAAUGAUAUCAUUCAUAUGUAAGCGAAACAAAAAAAUGAUUUAAUGAGACAAUUUCUUUUAGUUAUGUUUCAUGGGGAGCGUAGUAGAGCUUCGAUUUUUUCCUUCAUAUAAAUCCAAGAACAGAGUCAUAUGACGAUGAUAUAAGAAAGUUCAAGGCAUGUAACAGAAGCAUUAAGUUUGUAAAUCUUGGAUCGAAUAAAAGACUUCGAGAUUGUUCUUGCUACUAGUUGCUCUUUGAUACUAGCUGGUCUUUACAUCAAAUGUUUGGACAUAUGUUCUAUUUAGUACUCGCACUAGUAUUUGAUGUAUGGUAGAAGCGAGAAACAAUUACCUAUUUUUUAAGUCAAUUACUCACAUUUUCAAAAAAAGAAGUCAAUUACUCACCUAAAGUCAUGAACAUUAUAUUAUGUAGUCAUUUAGUUAUGUCCACUUCGUUAGUAGGUGAUUGUCAACCCCUAAAAUCCUAUUUCUCCAAUAAUAUAAGCAAUGAGGAUGUGUUGUUAGCUACCGGCGACGUUGUUAAGAUCUAAGAUGAGUUUUUUGACUGUCACUUUUUUCAUUCUUAGUUUUUAUCACAACUCUCUCAAAUUAUUAAAAGAUGAACUAACAAUGUAUGUAAAUCAAACCAAAGAUAUCAUUCAUAUGUAAGCAAAACCAAAAAAUGAUUUAAUGAAACAAUUUCUUUUAGUUAUGUUUCAUGGGGAGAGUAGUAGAGCUUCAAUUUUUUCCUUCGUAUAAAUCCAAGAACAGAGUCAUAUGACGAUGAUAUAAGAAAGUUCAAGGCAUGUAACAGAAGCAUCAAGUUUGUAAAUCUUGGAUCGAAUAAAAGGCUUUGAGAUUGUUCUUGCUACUAGUUGCUCUUUGAUUCUUGACCAGUACGUCCAACUCCACCUAGUUAGAUUCUUAAGCAAACGUCAUGCAACAAGUCUCAAGUUUGAACCCUAUGCGUGCAUAUAUAUUAUACAUACACAAACACACAUCUUUUAGGAGUAUAUAUAACUUGCAUGUGGAUUACAUGUAAAUAUCAUAUGAAACAAAGAACGGAAGAAAACAUAACUACAUAGUGUGGUCAAAUGUUUGGACUAGAGGUUUAGUUUGGCAGCUUUCACAACAAGCUUUCGAUAUAUUGAAGUUUCGACAUUGGGCUUUUGUUUCAUCAAGCAUAAUUUAAUUUUCUUCCAAAAAGUUGAUCAUGCAGAGAGACCUGGAUUCGAAAUACGUAUACUAAUCAACUUAUUCAUAUGCUUCACAGUAUAAUUCUCUGAUGGCUGCGUUAAUAUUCGUCCAUAAGAUUAAUGGUGUGUGUGUGGAUAAAUAGGCCAUAGAAACUGUGUCGGAUUCGGCUCCUCUAAGUAACUUUAGGUGAAGUUCAUAAAAUCUACAUCAUGGGAAUAUUUUGAUAGUCUAGAUUAGACAAUGAUAAUUAAAGGAGGAAUUAAGACAUAAAAAAGAACAAGAAAAAAAUAAUAUCUGACAGUGUUAUUCACUCUGCCGUUAAAGUUGUAUGAAAGUUGCUUUAUACAACUUGUUAGGCUAAUUGCUGAUUAUUUUCACCUCAUUACCAAACUGAGCCUAUAUAGAACAAGAAUGCAAAAGUCAUUCGAAACUUGUUUUGUACAACUGGUUUUUACAAACAAGAUUUUGUAUCUUAAUACAAAAGUCAUGCAAAAGUCACAUACUUUCAAACUAGUUGUUUUUAAUAUCGACUGGUUUUUUUAUCAAUCAACAGGUUUUUUUAAUACUAUCAUGAUUUUUGUUGCAGAUUAGAAACUAUGGCAACACAACAAAGUUUGAUUAUAUAGGCAAGAAAGCAGAUCACAGUCCACAUUUUAUGAAUCAGAUUUAUCAACAGCAUUUCGCUGACAAUGUGAGCAUAAUAGUAUUAUAUGCUUUAUCUAUAUUGAUAUAUUUUCAGUGAAAUUUAUCUAAACUAAUAUAACAAACUCAUACUUGUCAAUUAUAUGCAUUAGAGAUGCAUUUACUGGGCCGUCAAAGCUCUUGUCAAUUGAAGGAGUUCUUAUUGAUUUGGACCAUUUUCAUAAAAGUGCUACAUUUGGUAAAUCAGAGAAGCAGAGGUUUAAAGUAGGCAUUGCAGCAUGCCAUGACAGCUGGAGUUCUAACAGAAAAAACUUACCUGAAGAAGAAAGUAAGUUUCUUUGGGUUUAUAUGGAUUUGCACAUAUUAGAGCUUGAAUCAGUUUACAUGUUUUAAUUUAUUACAGAUAAUCCAGCCUCGACUCAUAAUGAUCAAGGAUUAUAAGGUGAUUCAAGGAAAACACAACAUUUUGAAAGAAAGUGUAGACCAAUCACUAUUGGGGGAGUUCCUUGUCAUGCCUGGUUUAAAGGACUAUACCGGAGGUCUCAUCAGACAUGAAGAUGUUGCUCAAGUGUUUAAGAGGAGUUCAAGGUUUCAGUGCCCAAGCUGCAGAAAGUGUAAGUCUAUAUCUUCUCUUAGAUUUGAAUUGUUUUGUUUUAGAAGAGUUGAAGUUUCUUACACUUUGUGUUUAUCUGUUAAAGGGAAACAAAAACCAUUUUACUGUGAUGACUGUGGAGUAAAUGGGAAACAUGGGCAUGCAGUGGUCAUUACUGGGUUCAACGCUACCGGAAAGCCAAGGGAUUUUCACAUCAAAUUUCUAAACAGUUGGAGGGAAGGCUGGGGGGAAGAGGGCUUUGGAAGGCUUCAUCUGACAGAGCAGAAGUUGGAAAUAAACAAAUUUAAGUUCAAAGGAAUUCUCAACAUUGAAGCACAAGCUUAUAAGAUUGUAGUCUGUAAUCCCUAUCUGUAGUUCUUUUGUAUUUUGAUUAUGAGAUUGUAGUCGCGUCCCUAUCUGUAGUUCUUUUGCAUUUUGAAGCACAAGCUUAUAAGAUUGUAGUCUGAAACCCCUAUAUGUAGUUCUUUUGGAUCUUGAUUAUGAGAUUGUAGUUGCAUCCCCAACCCUAUUCUAUCAUAUGAAGGUGCUAAAUACAAAACUAAACAAAAUUAAAAGAUCGGUGAUUUCCAAUAGAGUAUUUGAAAAAGAAAAAAAAAUUGUGCUAAGUGAUUACCUGUAUAUUUGAUAAGGAGAUGGGAGACAGAGUGAGAGUAAACCUAUGUACGCUUUGUGCCUGACGAUCCAACUCAUAGAGAAGAAGAUGGGAGAACUAGGGCCGAAGCAGAUUAACCUUUACAAAUCUAUGAAGAACAUAAAAAAGAAUAAUACAGAGAGUGAAAAUAUGUACGCUUCUUGCCGGUCGAUAUCCAUCUUAUAGAGAAGAAGAUGGGAGAAUCAGGGCUGAAGUAAAUUGAUCUUUACAAAUCUGUGCGAGCUAAUGAACAAGACUAACAGAGAGAGAGAGAGAGAGAGAGAUAUUGUGAUUAGGGUAACCCAAAUCUGUGUCGAGCUAAUGAACAAGACUAACAGAGAGAGANNNNNNNNNNNNNNNNNNNNUCGGAUAAGGAUCCUCUCCUUGUCUGGCCUAUAUCCUUGUGUAUCCUUGACUUCUAAUCCUAUCCAUUAAUUAGAUAUCCAAAGGUCAUAAUCACAUCACCUCAGCAUUUUUCUAUUAAAUAUUCAAAAGUUGGUUUUCCAAUACAAACAUCAACGUUUUCUCACAAUCCUUCGUUAACAAACAGAUCGAGUCCAAAAACAAUUAGAAGACCAUCUCGUCAUCUUCAUCCUUCUUCUCAACUCACCCAUGUGUGAGUGAUAAUACUAUAUCUUCAAUAUCAGUCUCCAAACUCAUUCUUCAAUCUCAAAACCCAUCCUUCAAAUCAAUUACAAUGUAAGAUCUAGAUCCAUUCGUUCAUGGCAGUGCUACGGAGGUGAUGUUGCUCGUGACGACGGCAACGAGGGAGGAGUUGACAGCGGCGAGGUCAUUAAUUGCGUAUGGGCUGCAACUCCUCCGCCAUCCUCAACGACAAUGGCCCUGCCGUCGCUGACGAUCUAGGCCUCCCGAUUCGUGAUUGUUUCCAAACCUUAACCCCCAGCCGCCGCCACCACCACCACUGCGCCCGCGACCGCGGUUUGCCGGAUCGAAGCCCUCCGUCACUGAUGAAUUUGGUGUUUAGGCAGUCAAGGGAGUGAGAUUGAAGCUGUAUUUUUUUUUUUUUAAUUUUUGCCCGAAGCAGCAGUGUAUGCUUGAAAUCCAGAUGGAUAAAAGUAACACCACCUUCUCACCAGGAUUUGAAAUGAAGGUCUGCCGAGAUUAAAAUUUUCAGGUUACUCCAUAUCUGACCAUCCAAACACAACUUCAAACCAGAUUGGUAAUAAUUAAUCUUGUCAUCCUGAAAAACAAACAGCCCCGAUCUGUUUGUUAACGGAGGAUCGUGAGAAAACGUUGGUGUGUGUAUUGGAAAACCAACUUCUGAAUAUUUAAUAGAAAAAUGCUGAGGUGGUGCGAUUAUGACAUUUGGAUAUCUAAUUAAUGGUCAGAAUUAAAAGUCAAGGAUACACAAGGAUAUAGACCAGACAAGGAGAGGAUCCUUAUCCAACCCCCUCAUAUGUGAAAGAGAAAAAGAAUAAGCUUGGUCUAUAGUUUUACAAAAAUGUCCCUAUAACUCCGGAGCGGAUUCCAUGCACCUUGGUUCCAGUGAACCAGGUGUGUGCAAGUCACGUGCUUUGACUGAUCUAAUACCAACGUUAGUCAGUCGUUGAAAACAAAAAAAUGGAAAUACAGUAAAAGCCAGAAUUACCACGAGCAGUACUCUCUCGCCUCCUACCCACUGUUUCAAUCCCGUCAUUGCCUCCAAUAUAAAAGUUCAUCGUCGACCCAGUACUUCUUCUCCAUCGCGUGCCUACACGGUGGGAGGUGGAAGGCCUCACCGAUUAAGGAUUUGUCGCUAAAAAAAAUUGAUUCAAAAUUUGGCGGCUGAGCAGGUCGGCGCCCAUCUCUAUUACCUCGACUCUCUCCAUGUCACUCUCUUUUAGAAGGGGAGAGCACCGCCGUAUCUGACUGUGUGUUGCACUGUUGCCCACCCUGGGUUUGUGCCAAAUUUCGAAUGGUGGGGAAGAAUGAGAUACUGGGAGAGAUGAUUGAUGUUGGUGCAACACGUGGACAAUAAAAACUUGAUUGAUUGGUAACUAUGGACCCCCGUAUUGACCCAUUUUACCUUUUUUGAUUAAUUAUGCUCAAUUUUUUUUUUUUCGAUGUCAAACGAUGAUGUGUACGAUUGUGCCUAUAACUAAGCACAUUUCAAUCAGUAUUGAAAAAGAAAUUUUUUUUUUUGCUGAUUAAAAUGUUGAAAAAAAGAAGUUGGGAUCGAAUAAAUUUUGUGUGGGCUUAAUAAUAUGGUCUAACUAACUAGUUUAUACGGAUAUAUAAUUAUAUCUCUUAGGUCUAACAAAGUUUAAGAACAGAGCAAAAAUAUGGAUAAUGGUUUAAAAAAAAUAAAUUUCGUCUUUGCGUUGGCUCCUCAUGGAGUCAUGGUCAACUCAAUACUAUAUACUCGUCAAGUCAAAAUGUGUGAAACACUCAUUUGUAAAUUCUUUUCUUAAUUCGUUAGCGACUCAGCGCUCACACUCUCGUACCUAUCGAAUUAUGUCAAACCAUGUAAACAAGCAUUUAUGUAUGUUCUCUCUAUGUGAUUAUUCUCCGCUUAUGCAACCAAUUAGCAAUAUGCAGGUGAACCAAGAGUCAUCAUGCAAUCUGGUAGUGAACCAAGAUUGCAUGUGUUAAAUAUUUGGCUAGUGGGAAUAAAACAGUUAAAAACUGGGCGGAUGGGAAAAAACCCUUAAUUUAUCGAGGUUUUACAUUAAUAUNNNNNNNNNNNNNNNNNNNNGUGUAUAUAUAUAUAUAUAUAUAUUAUUGGUGUUUAAGGAAAAUUUAAAAACAUGUAUGCAAUCAACUUUAAAUAAUUAUUAACCUCAUUUAUCUAGGAAUGACGAUCUACAAGGUAGGCCGAUUUUUUUUCUUCAAAAUAAGCAUGAUAAUUAACUACGGAGAAAAUACAUGAUUAAUUAGGCAAGGUCAAAUUGCCGAAAAUUUGUACAAUAAUAGUUGAAGUUCGGCAAUCGAUCAAAAGCUUAUAGUCACCAAAUUUUGGAGAUCGGAUUUGAAUGUUAUUUAUAUCGUUUUAGGAAAAUAAAAAAUUAACAAUUCAUUAUCUUAAUUCAAACCUAAACAAUGAUAGACAUGACUAAUUUUACACGAUUCAUAUUACCAAACCAUAUAUAUGUUAGAGAGGAAAGAUCCCACAUCAGAAAAUGGACAAAGAAAAAUAUAACUUAUAAGUGGAUGAAUCAUACCUAAUUGUACUGAAGCUUUUUGUGGUUAAAAACUAACUCUGGUGGUUAAAUUGAGACAAUAUCAGUAUAAUAGUGAUAUACGUGCCACGUUUGUCCUUGUUCAAGUAUAUAUAGGCAAUGUCGAGUGACUCGAGUCUUUUUUGUUUCUCACAUAAUACAAUUUAGGAUAAAAUAGCUAUGCAAAAUAAUUGUCCCUAUGAUAUUCGUUUGUGUCACAAUCGACAUGAUCAAAUGUACUCUAUUAAAUAACGAUACUCAUAACCAAAAUUUUAUCUAAAUAAUGUAGGAUUCUGAAACUAAAAAAAAAAAAAAACAAGGUUGAGCAUGAGUAAUGAAAUCAUAUGUUUUGAUAUCAUCACAUAACAUUUUAUUUAGAUAAUGUAGCUCAUUUGAAAUAUAAUUAUAGAAUAAAAUGGAGUUGUCUCAAUCCGACAAAAUGAAAAUAAUCUCAAGAGAUAAUUUUGAUUCAACUUUAGUUGACUCAUGUACUUUUUUCAUUCCCUUUAAAAAUGUAAUAAUUAGGUUAAUUUUAAUUAAAAAU
rnacentral:lncRNA from 1 species